rnacentral:lncRNA from 1 species
CUUGCUGUUUUCAUCUAUUUGAGAGUAAUACUGACUCAUUUCUUGCAACUUCUUUUCAUCCAUCACUUCAUUUGAUUCUGAAACAAAUUCUGGAACCACAGUCCUUCCUUCAAGCAUACUUACCACUGAAGACAUAGGCGGCCUAAGGUUUGAAGUGUCAUUGGUGCAUAGGAGACCCACAUUGAUCAUCACCAUGGCUUCCUUUUUGUUGAAAUCUGAACCUAAUCUUUUAUCAACUAUUUCCAGUAGGUCACCUCUCUCAUGCAAUAAUUGUGCCUGUUCAAAUAAAAAAACAGAAUAGUUUGAUUUGAAACCCAAGUCAUUUACAAUAGGUAGAUUCUUCAACUUCUGAAAAUUCUCUAAAGUGAGAAAUUGGUCGUAUUUAUAUUAAAUUUCUAAAAACCAAAUUGAUGUCACUGGUAUGUUGCUUGGAUGCUUCAUGAUAUUAAGAUUUUGGAAAUGGACAGGAUCUAUGAAAUGUUUUGUACAAUUACUCUUUGAGAGAUUACAAUUACAUCCUUUUCCGAUCCUCUUCAACAUCCUUCUAGUGAAGUGUAAAACUUCAACGAAAAAAGUUUCUACUAAUUAUAAAAAGGGAGGUUUGAUUUUAUUCUCUUCUAGAGUUAUUACAUGAAAACGAAUAACAAUAUAUGUGAGACACAUAAUGUAGUGUAUAUAGAUAGUACAAUGGAUGGUAAAUUUUAGAUAAACAAUGAAGAGCAUAAAAUUGUUACCCAUUCUAGAAGAUAGAAUGCUUCCUCCUUUGACCGAUACAUGGUGUUGCUCCUCCCACUAACAAUUUCCAAAGCAACAAUUCCGAAACUAUAAACAUCUGCUUUGUCUGUCAAUUUACCAUGCAUUGCAUAUUCGGGAGCCAUGUAUCCACUGUAUAAUUAAAACAUAUCAUUCAAACAACUUGAUACCAGUAUAAAACUUUAUAUUAAACUAUUGUAAAAAUAUGAUUUGAAUUGAAUUUGAUAACUUUUUGGAGUGAAUUUCAAUAAACUUGGAGAACACAAGAAUUACAGUUACUCACUAGGUGCCAACAAUUCUAGUGCUAAUGUGAGUAUUGUCCUCCUCAUCAAGCUUGGCCAAACCAAAAUCAGAUAUCUUUGGGUCAAGAUUUGUAUCAAGCAAAACAUUAGUAGCCUUGAUGUCCCUGUGAACAACCUUCAGUCUUGAUUCUUCAUGGAGGUAUGCCAAACCUUUAGCAAUACCAACACAGAUCUUCUGCCUUCUUGACCAAUCUAAUUUUAUUUGGUGUUCCUCUGGACCUAAUUUAUUUGUCAAUGUAAUAAAAAUCAGAGUUAUGUGUAAGUUAGAAAAUAUGGAAUAGCACAUAAAUAGGAACCAAAGUAGGGAUUUAGAUUGAUGGCAGUCGCUAAAAGCGUGCAGUCACUGCGGUCAAAGUACAUCAACUGUUUGAUCCAUCCAACCAUCAACAAGCUUUCACCUGGAAAAAACAUGAGCAACCCAUGUUCCAUUCUUUUACACAAUUUCCCUUUAUCACAUAUAUUUUCUAUUUACAAAUCCUAAGCAUAAUAAAGGUAUGAAACACUAAUAAAAAAAUACAAAAAGUUGUUUUUCCUAUCCAUCCAUAGGCGAACCUAAAGAUGGUUUGAACUUUGAAGUUGAUUUUUCAUAUUGGCAUCUCAGUAUGUUAUAGAAUCCAACAAAAGAAAUCAGUGCUACUUUAUUUGAUGAAUUUUUAAUUUAAGAUGAAUAUUAAUAUAUCAUCAGUGAUUCAAUGUUUCUAAAACGCCCUUAAGACGUAAGAGCUUACAAAGCCUUCAUUUUCAAUCUUAUUAUGUGGCUGUUUGUUGAAGGUUGGAUGAAUCAAACGAUUGAUAAGUUAUGACGGCACUCUUUUACCGACUGCAGUCAAUAUUGAAUCCCAAAGUAGACCAUAUAGGAAAAAUUACCAAAUAAAGCACGAGCAAGACUAUUGUUUUCCAAGUAUUCGUAUACCAGCAUCAACUGAUCUCCCUCCACACAACAACCGUGGAGUUUAACAAGAUAAGGAUGUUGCAAAGCAGAAAUCAUUCCUAUCUCAUUUAAAAACUCACGAUUCCCUUGCUUUGAUUUUGAAGAAAGUUGCUUCACUGCUAUCAAUGUCCCAUUGGGUAAACAUCCCUUCAUUUUGAGGAAUGGUAUGAUGUUAUAUGUUGAAAAGGAGUUUUAUGAAAAGUACAUGUAAAUUAUAAUAAAAGCAUGACACUCGAGCAUUUUUUAUAUUAUGCAAAAUACCUUGUACACAGGACCAAAUCCUCCUUCUCCAAUCUUAUUGGAAACAUCGAAGUUAUCUGUUGCUGCUUUUAUUUGUCGUAAGGUAAAAAUACCUGUCUGUACGUCCAAACUAUUUAGCUCUGUUAAAUGAAGUAAAUGAAAGAUUAAAGAUCUGUUAUACUAAGAAAAUUACACAUAGACACCCUGCAUCGACAAUUGAUUGGAUGUAAGCUUGCAACUUUCUUCUUAUCAUGAUAAUGAAUUAUUCUCGAGCCCCAUUACACGAUAUAAUGACAACAAAAGUAGUUUCUUUGUACUCACCUCUUGCUAAAGAAUUUUUCUUUCCAAAACAUCCUUUCCACCACAGUAUACCAAAUACAAGAAUGAUAAUAACUAUUGCUGCAACCACAAUUCCAACGACAGCUACAGUUGAUAUGCUUCCAGGUGGAGAGUCUGCUCGAUUGUUAUACAACACAUUUUAAUAUUAGAUAAUAACAUGGAGAUCAAAGCACAAGACUAGGAGCAAAUAAAACAUAACCCACCAGAUUCCACCGAUAUAGCUGAUAUAAGAGGACCAUAUACUGAUCUAUUUGGGAGAGACUGUGUCCCUUUUCCAGCCCAAUACAAACGGAUCUCCAAAGUAUUACUACUAACAACGAUAUCUUUGAACUGUUUUAUCACUUUCUUACCAACUCCUCCCGCUUCUUUUGCAAUAUUGAAAUCCUUUUGCACCGGAUUUCCCUGCAACAUUUCAAUAACAACCUUAAUACUUUGUGAUGUUUACAACCUACAAGUAUUUAUUCGUCUGUUUGUUUUAGAAAUAUUAUAGAAAUUGAUUUUAUAAAUAAUGCCAAACAAGUGAACUGUUGAUCAGAAAUUGAUAUUUUACGUAUUUUAAUUAAAAAAAGGUCUGACAAUGUCCCCGUAGGAACCCAGUGAUCACUUGACUAAUAGUCUUAAUUUCUUUUUUUUGAAACAUCGAGUGACUAUGGAAAUAAAAUUGUUAAAGCAUAUACCUGAAGGUAGAUAUCAAAUACACGCCUUCCAAGACUAGCAUACGUUUGAUCGUCAGUGAACAUUAUUUCGGCAAAAUGUAGAUUUACUGUGUAGCCUCCAUUUGCCAGGCAAAAGGCAUAAUAAGUCAAAGAAAUAGGAGAACCACGUGCAGUCAUGUACAAUUCAGUAUCUGCCAUAGUAAGUGUUGUGAUAUUUCGUGGGAAAUAAGUUUCUCCAAGUUGAUCACCAUCAAUGAAUAUACCGGUAGAGCUAAAUGCCCAAUUUCCUGUUGGGCUGACAUGGAAUUUAGCUGCUCCAGAAGAAUCGGAAUCAUCGUCAUAACUUCUUUUUUUGACUAUUGCAUGCUUUCCACCACAAUUUAUAUAAAGGGAGUACAAGGCUGGGUUGAGAAGAUCAUGUGAGAAACUUUGGAAAUAUUAAGGAAACUAAGAAAAUCAAAUAAAUAAAAAUAUAUUCAUUGAAAUUGUAUUUUUCUAUACUAAUUCUCUCUCUUUCUAACUAUCAUGUUUCUAUUAUGGUUAUAUAACUCUAGCUAGUCAAACAAAAGUCAUGAUUAAUUGCUACCGAUAUUUUUCAAACACAGCAUGAUUAUAGUUUACACAAAGUAAAUUUAGGGAACAAGAACACUACUAGCCAGUUAUCGUUUUUUACCAACAAAUUCCUGGCUGUGCUAAAAAAUCUACAAUAGCAUUCUUGUACUAUUGUAAAGUAAUUUUAGGCAACCUAGAAACUAAUGUAGCAAGAAAAGAUAUAAAUCCUAUUAGAACAUGAUUAAACAUGCAAACACAGUGAGAUCUUAGCUGUGUAUGAAAGUCACCAUGAAAAAACUCACAUUUUGGGCAAUCGCGCAAACACGAAACUGUUCCUCUGAAAGAAAUGGAAUAAAUUAGCAUGAUUCGUACAAUAAGAUUUAAACAUAAUAAGAGGGAAAUGGAAAGGGUAUAUAUACAUGUUUUAGUAUUUAUAAGACUAAACUUACAUGUCAUUGUGUGCCAAUGAGGGAGAAAACAAGUUCCUACGACAUAUUAGAAAUGGUGUUGUCACAAAAAGGUUGUUAAGUUUGCAAAAUUAAAUGCACAAAAAUGCAAGGAUUCUUACAGUUUAUCACUUUGACAUAUCUGAUUCCCUUGGCUGAUGCUUAAGUUAUUGUAUGAAAGAUCACUAUAUACAAGCCAUAAAAUUUGAUUCAGAAUAUGAUGAUGAUGAUACGAUCAGAGACUUAAUGAAACAUUUGGAGACUACGAAGAAACCUAAGAAGAUCAACAUCUUAAGUAAACAAAUGCACAAUGAUUAUAGACCUAGCACUAGAGUUAAUCAGCAGAACAAUAACAAAGGAUUAAACUUUAAUUUAGAAGAUAGCAGAAACAAAAACUUUAAUUUGGAAAUAAAUAAUUGAUGCUUGGUGGUCAUACGCUUAAAGCAAGCGAAACGAAAAGGCAAAGUCAACUUAUAGUAUUAUUGCAACAUAAAUGAAGUAUGUUGUUCAAUUGAAGGAAUCAUACUAGUAGUAGAAAAAUAACUUACACGUCAACGUUCUUUUUCCAAGCAGGCACCGAUCCAGUGAGAAGGUUUCCAGUUAAAAAUCUAUCAUAAAAGUAUAUCAAGAUAUUAAUAUGCAAAGCUUAAUAGUUAUUGAGGUGAACACAAUUGGAAAUAAGCUAAUCACAACCAAUUAUCUCUUCUUCCCUACGAAUGGUUGAAUUGAUUUAGGUCGAGGGAUCCUUCUAUACAGAAUUUUUUUCAAUUCAUAGACACCUACAAAGACAAUGAAAUAACAAAAAUCCUAAACUUUUCACUUUGACACUCUUUAUCACACACUUAAUCCUAAACUUGUCAUCUUCAUUCUCUUAGAUUUUUUCCUUUUCAGAUUGAAAAGGGCGUGUGAUCCUUUUGAGAGAAAAAAGUUGCUUCAAAAAGGUACAAAUACAUUUGCCUGAUCUUUUGAAACGAAAUCCUACUUUUGAAACUUAAAAGUAUUGGACACUUGGUCCGGACUACUUCAGCUCUAUUAGUAUUCCUCGUGAAUCUAAGUUGGAUUAUUCAGAUAUCCUACUUCAGACUGAAAGUGGAAACUAGAGCUGUUGGUGUAAAGUAGCCAACAGAUAUUUGAUUAAAAAUAUACGCUGAAUAAAAAAUUGUGAUAAGAAGCUACAAUGAAUUUCAUACAUGAAUUUCGCACCGUUAAUGUCAUCAAAGGUAUCCGGGAUUGUUCCACUUAUGUUAUUAAAGCUGAGGUCUCUGAAAGAUAUAUCAUAAUGAGAAUGAGUUAAGAAUCUACAAAAAAAAAAUUGUCAUAGAAAAAUAUACCUGAAACAAAAGAACAAAUUAUAAAAUACAAAAUGUAACAGGUAACUAAUUACAAGUGCUUUAAUGUUGGUAUAGUCCCAAGAUAUUUAGGUAGUGUUCCGUUGAUUUUGCAGUUCCUCAGAAUCCUGUGAAACAAUAAGAAAGACAACGAUAUAUUAUAGGUCUCUUGCUGUUUUUUUCUUUUCUAUUUCUCAAAGCAGAAGAUUCAACUCACAGAUUUUUUAACAAUGGCAUAUUAUCAAGUGGUGGCAAAGGUGAAUAUUCUAAUCCAUUCAAAUCACUAAUUCUCCUGAAUAUCAAAUUUAAAUCAAAGAUAAGUAAUCAUAACUAAAAUAAAAGUUAAAUUUCAGUCCUUACUUUAUCAGUAUAUAAAAUACGGCACAUACAAUUCAGAUAAGUUUCUCAAAAGUGAAAUUUCAGAAGGAAUUGGCCCGCUUAAUCCACUCCCUUGAAUGGUUCUGUCAAAAGUAAAGUAACCAUUGAUGAUUUUUGUAAAAUCAAGAAAUACAAAAACAGUUUAAAUUCAUGAAAAAUCAAAGAAAAAAAGGAGAGUGCAUACAGUGUACCGAUAUUUGUCCAGUUCUUAAUAAAAUCUGGUACCUUUCCAGAGAACUGGUUGUCCGAAAUUUCGCUGCAUUGAGAGGGCAUGUAAAUUUCUCAUAAGAAUUAUUUUAUAAUUUAUUCAUCACUUAAUAUCGUAAAACUUUGAAGCUUACAAAUCGCGCAAUGUAGUGAGCUUUGCCAAUGUGGCAGGUAGUUCUCCAGUAAAAUUAUUAGAGGACAUUUUCCUAUAUACACAAUUGAAAAACAAAACAGCAAAUUAUGAUUCUAAGCCAUAGAAAUCAAGCUGAACUUUAAACAGAAGGCUUUCAUAUUUUGAGGGAUAACAUCAAUUAAGUAAAAAUAAAGUACUUACAGUGUUCGAAUCUGGGUUAGAUUUCCAAGCUCACGAGGAAUGAUUCCAGACAUUUGAUUGGCCGUUAAAUCCCUAUCCAUUUAAAGUUAAAGUUAACUUCUACUUAAACUCUUUUAAUUGAACUCGUAUGAAAUAGAUUUUCUUUGCUAAGUGGGAUAAUCAGUAACUCACAACUGUAUCAGAGUAGAUAUAUUUGCAAUCUCCACUGGUAUUGAACCCGUUAAUCGAUUGCUGGGGAGACUACUGUGAUAAUUAAGAAACAUGCUGUCGUUAGCUCAUUUUUCAGGUAAUUACUACUAGUCCACAAAAACUGAAUUGAAGUCUUACAAAGAAUGUGAAAUAAGACUGAUCUGUUAAGAUCAUAAGAAAAAUUAAUGACCAAAAACCAGAAAAAGUAAAGUAAGAGACAAAUCAUACAUGUUACGGAUAUUCAUCAUGGAGCCCCAUUCUUUAGGAAUUGUACCGUUCAAGUAAUUGCGAGAGAAGUCACUGUAAUUGAGAGAGGGAGAGAAAGAGUGUGUCAUGCAAAAUAAUAUAUCAUACAUGUGAUUGUAAAAACAAAACAAGUUCAGUCACUGUUAAUUUAGAUUUGAGGAAAAGUUCAAGAACUACGUACAUAAUUUGAAGGUAUCGCAACCUGUUCAGUUCUGGUGGCAGAGUGCCGGGGAGAUUUUGCCCUUUCAAAGUUCUUUAUGUACAUUUUGCCAUAAAAAAGUUAAACAUAAACAAUUAGCAAAAUAAAGUAACUAAGUCUGAUUCUUAACAAUACAUUUAAGAGAAUUUUUUUUGUAAUAAGCUCCUCAACAACGGAGAGUUUUUAAACUGUUUUUACUAUUUGUGUAACAUCAUUUCAGUAAAAAUACAUGUCUGAGAAUAUUGAUUUCACUUUCAAAUCUUACUGACUGAAAGAGAUACCAACAUUAUUGAUGUAUAACUAUAAGUACCAGUUAAGUUUGUUACAUGGUAUUAACCGAUCUAACUCAUGCUUAUCAAUGAAGAUAAAUAUCAAAUCAGUUGCCAUAGUAGUACUUACAGAACAGAGUCAAUUCCGCGGAAAAUAGACUUACAUUUCAACAACAUGGCAGAAGUUGUCAGCAGAAAUACUGCAGUUGCAAGUGACAUUGUUCUCUACGAUAUUCAAUCUGGGACUGGGAUGCGCAGGCUUCGGUGUAGCCCAGUUAGGUUGGUUGCUACAUGGAUCAAUGUCGAAGUUCCAAUCAUUCUUACCAAGUGAUUUAGCUAUAACUUCAAGAGCUUUCUCUACAUAUACAUAUAGUAGAUAGAUAUCAUAUCAGCUAAGUACUGGAAAAUUACUUAUGUACACAGAAUUUAUAUAUGAGCAGACAAAUAUAUGAUAUUUGAGCUAACAUGAAUCCUUAGAUGAAAAAACUAGAAAAGAAAGAUCAGAUAAAAGAACUUUAUUUAUUAUUUGGGAGCUAUGGUGGAAAUAAAUAUCAUACUUUCAUCAGGGUGAAUAGUAGUAGCUCCAAAAGCUGUUAGAGAUAUGGACCAAAUGAGAAUGAAUGAAAGGAAGAAAAAUUGAGUGGAUCUAGCCAUCUUAUCUUAAAAUUAUUAUUAUUUUUAUGAUAAUAAUUUUAAGAUAAGAAUUUUAAUUAAGAGUUAAUUAAAAUUCUUAUCUUAAAAUUAUUAUUAUUUUUAUGAUAAUAAUUUUAAGAUAAGAAUUUUAAUUAAGAGUUAAUUAAAAUUCUUAUCUUAAAAUUAUUAUCAAUGAAAGAGAAGUAUAAAUAUAUAUGCCAAUAAUGUAGAGGUAAAAAAGAGUCUGAACAUAUAUACUGUGUAUUUGGAAUUUAAGAAGCUACUGCAUGUAAACUCAAUUAUUAGAGUUAAUCAUCAAUUGAUUCCCUGAAAUUUUAGGGUGGUGUCAAUUCAUUCCUUAUAAUUUUUAAUAUGCCAAAAUAUAAAAACAAUCAAACAUAUUUGUCACUAAGUGAUUGGUCUCAAAUGGUUAAUAAACUCUACCAAAAGAUGGAUCGUUGUGUAAAACAAUUUUUUGUUAGAUUUUACUAACCUCUCAACCAAAUACAAAAAAAAAAAAAAAAUCAAUCAUAUUUGUCAUCUUAAAACAGUUAAUCUCAUUUUAUAAGAAUUACAUUGCAUAAAUGGCAAACCACCAUUUUUUCAUGUAACACAAUCAAUUUUAAAAUAAGUAUAAAAAGUGAUGCGAAGUGGCAACUAUAAAAAGUGAUGUAAAGUGGUAAAGUAGUUGAUUCUUACUCUAAAAUUGUUUUACACCCAAAAUGUAUACUCCUUCCAUUCUUUUUCUUUUGAUGUUUUAGAACUUCAACUAUAUUCUAAAACUUUUGAUGUUUUAGUGAAUUUAUUAUUGUUUUCUCAAAUUUACCUUUGUUGAAAAACACAAUAAACUAUUAAAGUAGUUGUGAUAUUUGGUUUAUCACAUGUGAAUUUAAUGAUAAAUAAGGACAUUUAAAAAAAACACAAAUUGUGCAAGCCUAAAACAUUAAAAGAAAAGCCUAAAACAUUAAAAGAAAAGUAAUGGAGGGAAUACCUUUUAAUUUCAUUUUAUAAAGUAAAUUGAUUGCUUCAAAAUGCAUAGUCGACAUUGAUGAGAGAUAAGCAUUUAUUUUUCAACAUUUCAGACAAUUGUGCAAGUACAUGUGUACUAUGUAUGGCCCACUGAGUAAUGAAUGAUGGCAAACACCUACGCAAACGACAUAAACGAUUAGUAUUUUUGAAAGAGAAAUGAUAUUUGUACAGUUAUUUUGCGACAACUUUUGUCACAAUUUUUUUUUCUAAUAUUCAUAUUAUAUUUUUACUUUCUGUCUCUAUUGUUUUGGUUUCCAUGUUAAUAUCUAUUUUUCUUUGUAAAUUUAUGGUUGUCAUAAAAGUUGUCACACUAAUGGUUGUUCAAAUAACACAUCUCUUUUUGAAAAGAGUAGUGAUAUUUGAAUAACCAUAUGGGACAACUUAUGUGACAAUUUCUUUUUUCUCUCUUUUCAUUGGUCAAAAUCAAUGGAGAGAGAGAAAAAAGAAGAGAGAGAAUAAGAGUUUAACGUGAGUAUGAGAGAUAAAGUUGUCAAAACGUUGUCACAAAAUGGUUGUACAAAUAUCAUUUCUCUUUUGAAAAAUUGAAACGUGUCUGAAUUGAUGCAUGUGAGGUUGUAAGUGUAAAAAUAACCACAUUUUAACUCAUUCAUUCAUUUAUAGCCACAAAUUAGACAAUAAAAUCAUCCGAAAGCAUGUGGCAUAAUGUUUGAAGCCAACUUAGCAUCACACCCACCGUGUUUUCCGCCCAUAUACAAAUUCUAUUGGCUAUCACAAUUCUAGUCAUAAAAGCAUUAUGUUUUGAACUUUUUUUUCUUUUUCUUUUAUGAAAAUAUCCUUAUUUAAUGAGGAUUUUCAAAAUAGUUGGUGUAAAAUAGAUGUUUGUAUAUUAGCUGUCUUUUCAUACCUACAGUCCUAGCUUCGUUCUCCACCGUAACUUGUGAACGAGCAAACAACCGCUUUCUAAAUGAAACCGAAACACCACAUCGGUGACUCCACCACCGUAAGCCUAUCAUGGGGGCUCAUCUAUUCCUUCACAGGCUCUCAACGUGUCUUCACGUUUCCUUCUCUUUAAGUCGGCUACAUGUUAACCGAUCUAACAAUGUUUUAUUAUGUUGGCUCACUUAACAACUCAAAACUGGUUAGUGUUUGGGCCAUUAGUUACGUAGAACAUCACAGUCAGUGGCAUAAUUCAUGGGAUAGUUUGAGAAUGUGAAAUAAAAUACGAUGGGUGUGGAUUAAGUCUUAUUGUUGGGUUGUUUUCGGGAAUUAAGGAUAGAAGAGGAAGAACAAGGUUGAAAAUUGCUUUUCUGACAUAGAAUACUUCCUAUUGACACAAGUAAAUGAUCAAAUUACCUCCAACGGUAGUUAACUGUCCUGGCAUAUGCGCCGGCAGUUAACUGCCGCUGGCUCCUCCAGAGGCAGUUAACUGCCGCUUGGUUUGCUGCUUUUUAUUAUGAUUUUACGCGUUUCGGUAGAAAAAUCAAAAUAAAUCGAAAGUUAUUCAGAAUUCUACGAUACUUUACAGACACCUCUAUAAAAAUACAUAUAGAUGAUGUGAAAAGUUUCGUAACAUUCCGAAUAAGUCUCGAUUUUUGUUUAUUUUUUCGACCGAAACGCGCAAAAUCGCAAUUGAAAAAAUAAAAAACAUUGAAACUUAUUCGGAAUGAUACGAAACUUUUCACAUCAUCUAUAUGUAUUUAUAUAGAGGUGUCUCUAAAGUUUCGUAGCAUUUUGACUAAGUCUCGAUUUAUUUUGAUAUUUCGACCGAACCGUGCAAAAUCGCAAUUUUUUUCAAGUGCAAGUCCGAAAAAGUGUCCUAAAGGUUGAACUUUUUUACGAUUUUUUACACUCAUUUUAGAACAAAAAAAUAACAUCUCCCACAAAAAAUUUGAAUUUUUUGACAUGGGACGGAUUAAAUAUGAAAUUUUAAUGCGCCUAAAAUUUAAGACACGAAAACAUCAACCUAAAAAUUGAAUUUUGAGCUGUUUUUUUGCAGACACCUCUAUAAAAAUACAUAUAGAGGAUCUGUAAAUUUUCUUAGUAUUUCUAGUAAUCCUCAAUUUAUUUUAAUUUUUUUACUGAAACGCGUAAAAUUGCAAUAUUUUUCUAACUGCGCGUCUGGAAAAGUUAGAUAGAGGUUGAAUUUUUUCAUUUUUUUUUGUACACAUAUUAAGAACAUAAAAAAAACAUUUCCCGCAAAAAAUUAGAAUUUUUCGACAACGGAUGGAUUAAAUAUGAAUUUUUAAUGCACCAAUAACUCAAGAAACCAAAACAUCAAGACGUCGACCUAGAAAUUGAAUUUUGAUUUGGUUUUUUGCAGACAGCUCUAAAAAAAUAUAUAAAGAGGAUCUGCAAAGUUUCGUAGAAUUCUGAAUAAAUUUCGAUUUAUUUUGAUUUUUCAACCGAAACGCGUAAAAUCAUAAUAAAAAGCAGCAAAGCCAGCGGCAGUUAACUGCCGACGCAUAUGCCAGAGGCAGUUAACUACCGCUGGGAGUAAUUUGGUCAUUUACUUGUGUCAAUAGGAAGUUUUCUAUAUCAAAAAAGCAAUUUUCAACAAGGUUUUGUAUUCAUACGGAGAAUCUGAUCCACUGACAUCAGUUCUACACCCAUUUUCCACUAUCUUAUAUAAUUUGUGAGUAAAUAGUGGAGACUUUUUUUUUUGGUAGUGUUACUUUUUGAUAGUAAAUAAUGGAGACUAUAACAAACUCUUAGAUUGUUAAUUUAAUUUUCUUUCUAUCUAUUAACUUACUCUUUCAUUCUUUGAUUUUUUAUCAAAUAAUAAUUUGAAACACUACUUACUUGAAAUACUAUGUUUUUAUUAGAGGGACAUGAAAGUAUGAUAUUAUGGUUUAGUAAAAUAAAUGUAUGAAUUUUGUUGGAUACUUUCUUGAAUUUGAAUAUUAUUGAAGUUUGAAUUGUUUUUGGGAAAUUUUAUCAAAAAAUUAUAGUUAUAUAAUUUCUUUUUCUUUUUAAUAAUUAAAUAUUAUUCCGCAUUAGAAACACAAAGUAAGCUAAAAAACAAAAAACACACACCCAGGUGAGAGAGGGGUGUUUCAUAUAUAUCCGAAAAAUAGCCCCCAAAUCCCUCAAAUCAAACAACAAACAACUCCCCAAAAAAACUAGAAGAAUGUUGCUUUUUCCACAUUAGAACUUACUUAAAAAAAACAUGAAAAUGAACAAAAACCCUUAAAUGUAGUUACCUACAGCCGGCCAGUUAACUACCGCCGGAGAUUUUUGGUUAUUUCCAUAUGUUUUUAAGCAAGUUUUAAUGUGGGAAAAGCAAUUUUCAAAUUAGAAAUCGCUAACAAAAACAGCCCAAGUUAAACAGCCAAAAACAUGGGCCUCUAAAGAGCUGCCCAACUAAAAACGAUAUGCUAAUUGCACCUCACAGUAAGCGAAACAGCAAUAACCCAAAAGCAUACAUACGCACCAACUAAGAAACAAUGCAGCUGUUGCACUGACAAUGACCAACAAACCUCGCUAUCUCAAGAGGCAAUUAUUUAGGUUCCACCUCUCUCUGUCUCUCUAUAUUAUAAACAUUUGCCUACUUUAAAUUCAAAAGCACAUGUGGCAUCUUCAUAUUUUAAUUUUUUUUGGUACAAAGUGGCAUCUUCAUAUUAUCAUCAAAUUAAAAUGUUAUGAAACACCUUUCAAAAAAAAAAAAAGGAUUAUGAAACAUUUAUUUUAUAUCAACCAAUAGAAAAAGGUUACAAUAAAAAAGGAUCGUGACUCAUUUGUAAAUUAAUACAUAAUUUAUUCCCACAAUUUGUUUUUCAUCUUUCUCCCAUAGGAAAUGUAUUGUGUGUUUUUUGUAUGGUAGUAGAUUAUGUUUAUGGGGUUGAUUUGUUUUUUUAUUUGUAUCAAAUUGUUAAUUCUACUUUUUUAGGAUUUCAUUGAAGAACAUGUGACUCCAAAUUUUGAAAAUUGAGAAUAACUAUCACAUAUAUCUAAUCACGUUACUUGAAGAAUGUUUAUAUACCAAGAGAAAAAUUGAGAAUGUGUAUUUGAUAAGUAUAUUUUUGGCGUUUUUUCAUUUAGACUGAUUGUAAUGACCGGUUCUAUAUUCUAUUUAAACUGGUGUCACAUUCUUUUGAUAGUAAACUGAUUUACUCUACUAAGGAGAAUUCGUAGUAUCAUUGAUACACUACCAUCCUCUGUAGCACUGACACUUUUGAUUGAAGGCAUGUCUGACACGACAUCGACACAUGAGUUAACAUUUAAGUAUGUUAUAUUUUAAAAUUAAGAACGAAGACGGAGUUAAACAAAUAAAUAGAUUUGAAAAAAAUGUCACAAUGUGUGUGGAUAAAUUAGAGGGCUUGUUUAAAAUAAAAUGAACAUGAAACCAAUGGAAUGAUGCUUUUGGAGCUAGGUAAGUGGGUUUUUUGAAAAUCAACACUUUCUACGUCCUUUGUAGUUAAGCUAUUGCCACAUUUGCAUACUCAUACCGUUUUCUCCUUUUUGUGUACAAGCUAGCUAUUGUCACAUUUGUAUAAUUCAUUACAUUUUCUACUUCUUGUGCAAAAGAUGGUGUAUGUCGGUACUAAUGUAUACAUUGCAAAGUCAAACCUUUACUAACUAUGUAGCUAAAUAUUUCACCCCAAAAAUAAAAUCUAGCAGCAAAGAAUUAAAUGUGAUGGGUGAUACACAUAAUUGCCUUGAGAGAAAUGUAAGAGGUAAAGGUUUCAAGGCACUAUGUUACAGAGAGAAAAUUGUUGAAUCUUUGAGAUGAAAUAAUGGGCAAGCAUGUAAGCACGUGAAGAAAUUAAAUAGCAUGUACUUACAUUUUCCAAAGAUCAGAAAAGAUAAAAAAAAAUUAAGAGUGUGACUGAUGCACAUAUUAUAGUUGUUUCUAGACUCUAGCUAGCAUUCUAUGAUGGACAUAUGCAUUAACUUCCAUCGGACACUGUAAUUUGGGUUUGAAUCCGGAAUUUCCUACUUGUAUAAGGUUUUAAGUGGUUAUUGUCACUCGAUCUAUAUAGAAAAAAACAUAAAUUGUAAAUACUGGUUUGAAAAUAUACAACAGAACAAUCAAUUUCAUUUCACUGAAUGGUCAAACUUCAAUUUUCUCAACUUGGGAGCAACAAAUAUGAAUCCCUCCUUUCAGUCGAAAUACAUAACAUGAUAAUACAACACAAUGUAAACUGAUAACAACAUACUCUUUAAGACUCUUUCGAAACGCACCUUCUUUUAUUGAUUAAAAUUCAUAAAAAUACCUAAAUUGAUGUGAUACCAACUGAUUUGUUGGAUACAGAUUAAAAUAGUGAUAUCCAUUUAAAUUUUAACCAAUAAUAAUUUGUUAGAAAGAGUGCAUUAGAGAGCAAAGAGUGCAUUAGAGAGCACGCACAAUUAUUGGUUAAAAUUCAAAUGGACGGAGAUAGUACUCAGUUUUAAAGACAUCAUGGCUUCAUCACAAGACACAGUGGCAGGACAUCAAGCCGGAAGAUGCAAUUAUUUAUCAAUAAACGCGCUUAAUUUCUUUUCUCCCAAUAGGAAGAAUCAAGGUGGACGGGAUAAAGGUCUACAGCUGAUGAAGAUGUAGCAGUCCAUGGCCCAUCAAUUAAUAAACUCUGACUUUGUGUUUGUGACUUACUUGUACUAUUUUCUUCCAUCUGAUAGUAAUACUGCCUCAAUACUUCCAUGUUCUUUUCAUCCAUUACUUCACUUGAAUCUGACACAAAUUCUGGAACCACAGUCCUUCCUUCAAGCAUACUUACGACUGAGGACAUAGGGGGCCUAAGGUUUGAAGUGACGUUGGUGCAUAGGAGAGCCACAUUGAUCAUCACCAUAGCUUCAUUUUUGUCGAAAUCUAAACCUAAUCUUCUAUCAACUAGCUCCAUCAGGUCACCUCUGUCUUUCAACAAAUGCGCCUGUUGAAAAAAAAAACAAAGAAUAGUUUGAUUUGAAACCAAGUCAUUUACAAUAGGUACAUUCAAUUUCUGAAAAUUAUUCAAAGUAUUAAACUAGUCAUAUAUUCUCUUUUAGAGUUGAAUUAUACGAUGACAAAUGUAUAACAAUACAUGUAUGUGGAUAGUAUACUGGAUAAUCAGAUUUGCAUGACCAAUUGAGAACAAAAAAAAGUUACCCAAUCAAGAAGAUAGAACGCUUGCUCCUUUGACCGAUACAAGGUGUUGCUCUUUCCACUAACGAUUUCUAAGGCAACAAUUCCAAAACUAUAAACAUCUGCUUUGUCCGUCAAAUAACCAUGCAUUGCGUAUUCAGGAGCCAUAUAUCCACUGCAUAAUUGGAACAUAUCAUUGCAAUAAUUGAUUUAAGUAUAGAACAUGAUUUCAGACUUAACUAUUAAAAGUUUCAAUUUAAACUGAAAUUGAUAACUUUUUUGCAGUACUUUUUAAUGAACAAAGAGAAGGCAAGAAUUAUAGUUACUCACUAGGUCCCAGCAAUUUUAGUGCUAAUGUGAGUAUUGUCCUCCUCAUCAAGUUUCGCCAAACCAAAAUCCGAUAUCUUUGGCUCAAGAUCUUUAUCAAGCAACACAUUAGUGGCCUUGAUGUCUCUGUGAACAACCUUCAGUCUUGAUUCUUCAUGAAGGUAUGCCAAACCUCUAGCAAUACCAAUGCAAAUCUUCUGCCUUAUUGACCAAUCUAAUUUUAUUUGGUGUUCCGCUGGACCUUUAUUUGUGAAUAUAAUAAAAAUCAGAAAAAGAUAUCACAUAGUCACGUGCUAAGUGAAAAAAACGUGGAGAGUUCAAAGAAAUAGAUACUGAAGUAGAACAUAUAGGAAAAAUUACCAAAUAAAGCACGAGCAAGGCUAUUGUUUUCCAAGUAUUCAUAUAUCAGCAACAAUUGAUCUCCCUCCACACAACAACCGUGGAGUUUAACAAGAUAAGGAUGUUGCAAAGCAGAAAUCAUGCCUAUCUCAUUUAAAAACUCACGAUUCCCUUGCUUUGAUUUAGAAGAAAGUUGCUUCACUGCUACCAAUGUUCCAUUGGGUAAACAUCCCUACAUUUUGUGGAAUGCUAUUUUGUUAAAAGUUAAAAGAGAAUUUUCUGAUAUAUAUAUGUAACAUUAUAGUAAAAGCUUACACUCGAGGAUUUGUUAUAUUAUGCAAAAUACCUUGUACACGGGGCCAAAUCCUCCUUCACCAAUCUUAUUGGAAAUAUCGAAGUUAUUUGUUGCAGCUUUGAUUUGUCUUAAGGUAAAAAUACCCGUCUGUAGGUCUAAACUAUUUAGCUCUGUUAAUUGAAGUAAAAGAAAGAGUAAAGAUCUCUUGUACUAAUAAAAAUCAAAAUGACACACGUACGGACACUCUACAUCGAUGAUCCAUUUGCUGUAAACUUGCAGCUUUUGUCUCAUCAAGAUAAUUAACUAGGCUCAGGCCCCAUGUGAUUGAGGAAAAAGUUCCAUAGUAAUGACAACAAAAGAAGUUUGUUUGUAAUCACCUCUUGCUAAAUAAUUUUUCUUUCCAAAACUUCCUUUCCACCGAAGUAUGCCAAAUACAAGAAUGAUAAUAACUAUUGCUGCAAACACAAUUCCAACCACAGCUCCUGCAGUUAUGCUUCCAGAUGGAGAGUCUGCUUGAUUAUUAUACAAAAGUUUAAAAUAUUAGAUCAUACUAUGGAGAUUAUAUAUAUAGCAUAAGAUUAGGAACGUACAAAGUAUAACCCACCAGAUUCGACAGAUAUAGCUGAUAUAAGAGGACCAUAUACUGAUCUAUUUGGAAGAGACUUUGUCCCUUUUCCAGCCCAAUACAAACGGAUCUCCAAGGUAUUACUAGUAACAACGAUAUCAUUGAACUGUUUUAUGAUUUUCUUACCAACCCCUCCUGCUUCUUCUGCAAUAUUGAAGUCUUUUUUAACUGGAUUUCCCUGCAACAUUCAAUCACAGCCUUAAUGAUUCAUGAUAAUUACAAACUACAAGUGUUUUAAUGGUCAGUUUGUUUUAAAAAUAUUAUAGAAUUUGAUUUUAUAAAUAAUGCCAAACAAGUGAACUGCACUGAUCAAAAAGUAGUAAUGAUAAUUGUCCUAUAGGAACCUAGUGAUCAUUUGACUGAUGACCUUUCUUUUUAUGAAACAUUUAGUGACUAUUGCAAGAAUAUUGUUAAACCAUGUACCUGAAGGUAGAUAUCAAAUACACGUCGUCCAAGACUACCAUAAGUUUGAUCGUUCGUGAACAUUAUUUCAGCAAAAUGUAGUUUUACUGUGUAACUUCCAUUUGCAAGGCAAAACCCAUAAUAAGUCAAAGAAUUAGGAGAAACACGUGCACUCGUGUACAAUUGAGCAUCGACCAUAGUAAGUUUAGAGAUAUGUCGGGUAGAAUAAGUUCUGAGUUGAUCACUAUCCAUGAAUAUACCAGCGGUGCUGGAAGCCCAUUUUCCUGAUGAACUGGGUUGGAAUCUAGCUGAUCCAGAUGAAUCACCAUCAUACGUCGUUUUGUUGACUGUUUCUUGAUUUCCACCACAAUUUAUAUAAAGAGAUUUUGAGGCUGGGUUGAGCGGAUCAUGUGAGAAACUUUGGCAAUACUAAUGAAACUAAGAAAAUCAAAAAGAAAAAACAAUGAUAUCUUUGCUGUUUAUAGGAAAGUCACCAUGAAGAAACUCACGUUUAGGACAUUCAAAUUGCAAACACGAAACUGCUGUUGGUCUGAGAGAAUGAUGGAAGGAAUAAAACAAGUUAGAAUGAUUAGUAUAAUAAGAUUCAUCACAGGAUAAGACGGAAAUGCCAAGGCUAUGUAUGUAUGUAUGUAUGUAGGUAUGGCUCUGGUGAGAAAACUUUAUUAAUAUAAGAAACGAUGACAACUCAUUUUAACCGUCCGAUUAAGAAAUGAGUGGCUGUAAAUUAGAAAACCCAUAUAUGUGUGUGUAUGCACAUGUUUUAGUAUUUAUAAUACAAAACUUACUUUCUGUUGUGUGCCCAUGCAGUAGAAAACAAGUUCCUGUGACAUAUUACAGUAGGUAGUGUCUCAAAGCAGAUUCUUAAGCUUGCUAACAAAUGCACAUAAAUUCAUGGAUUCUUACACUUUUUGAUUUUGAUCUUGACAUUUCUGAUUCACUUCGUUGAUGCUGAAAUUAUUGUAUGAAAGAUCUCUGUAUACAAGUCAUAAACUUCGAUUCAGAUUAUGAUAAUAAUAUUAAAAUUAGAUACUAAAUGAAACAUUUGGUGACUACAGAGAAUCUAACAAUAUGAAUAUCUUGAAUAUAUAUAAUAAACAAUUUCACAAUCAUGCUCCAAGAGUAUAGAAGUUUCAAACCGAUUUACUUACUGGGAAGUAAAUGAGAAAUAAGCUCCUCAUCAAUUGGUUCAUUAAAACAAAUAAAACAGUAAAUUUAAGCGAAGAGAAUUAUGUUCCAUAAAUAAUGACGAUAGAAUGAAAAUCAAUUGAGAAGAAUGUUUUUUAUUUAAAUCUGAAUUUAAACUUAAGAAUGACAUAUUGGAGAUAACAUAUUAAACUAGAGACAUGAAACAUGAAAGUUAUAUGGAAUCAGCCUAAACAUAAAUUCGGAGAAACAUAAUCAUGCAGCUUUACGAAGUUAUGAACUUAUGAUGUGAGAGAAACUAAACUAAUGAUUGUGAGCCUGAUACUAGAGUUCAUCAGGAGAACAAUAACAAAGGAUUAAACUGUAGUUAAUCAUUUGUAAAUAAUAUUAUUUGCGUAUAAUAUUUGCAUAUAAUAUUUAGAAGUUUUUAUUUGGCGACAAAUAGUUAAUCAUUGCACUUAUUGCAAGAAGAAUAAAAAAUAUACAGCUAAAACAAAAAAUUCUCAAUUAAAUAAGACGAAGGGGAAAAAAGGAGGGAAGCAAGUAAAAAGAAAAGGCCAAGUACACUUAGAAAAGUAACAAAACAAACAGGCCGCGUUUCUAGUUUUUUGUUACGUAAAUGAAGUAAAUUAUUCAAUCAAAGGAACCAUACAACUAAUACUGGAAAGAUAACUCACACGUCUGAAUCCUUUCCCCAAGCAGAAGGAACUUGUCCAGUGAGAAGGUUUCCUGUCAAAAAUCUAUCAUAAUAGAAUAUCAAGAUAUUAAUGUGCAAAGCUUAUAAUAUUUAUAGAGGUGAACAUUAAGGGAAAUAAUCUAGUCAUUUUAAUCACUCCAGUUUAUCUCUUCAUCUCUACGAAUGAACGGAUUGGUUCAGGAUAAUUGUCUUGAGAGAGGGACCCUUCUAUACAGAAAAGCAUUCUAAUUCUUAGACACUGACUAAAAGAUUAAUGAAAACUCAAAAAUGCCUAAACUUAUUGUUGAAAUAUAUAUUUCCUUUUAUUAUUAUUGUAUUUUAAUGUUUGUUUAUUUUUCUUUAUAUCUUUUCUUAAAUUAAGGAGUUGAUUAGUUGCAUUCUCUCCUAUAAAAGGAGCACCAUUCUCAUUGAAAUAAACAACUCUCUAGUUAUAGAGUAAUUUUUACACUUAUCACUUUGACUCUCAUCAUCGCACUUCAUUAUAUAUUGUCACCUUAUUUCUCUUAUGUCCUUUUCCUUUUCAGAUGGCAAGGGCAUGUGAUCCUUUUGACACAAAAAAGAUGCUUCAGAAAUGUGCAAAUAUAUUUCCCUGAACUUUGCAAUUGAUAUCCAAUGACAGAUGUUUGAGUAGUCUUUAUACGUGCAGGAAAUGUAAUUAGCAGAAGUUUUCAAACCACUUAAAGUAUUGUAACCAUGAUCAUCGUUUACUAUAAUGUAACAAUUGAAACUCAGUCUGGACUACAUGAGCUCCAUUAGGUUGACAUUUAGUCAUGUAUUUAGGUUGUGUUUAAUCCUCAUGAAUCUAAGUAGGAGUAUUCAGGCUAAAAGUUGAAAUUAGAUUUGCAGGUAUAAAGAAACCAGCAGAUAUGUGAUUAAAAAUAUAUGCUUAAAACAAAUGUGCUAAAAUUUACGAAGAAUUUCAUACAUGUAUGUAAAGUUUAUGUCAGCAUAGGUCCUCGGAAUCAUUCCACUUAAUUUGUUAAAGCUGAGGUCUCUGAAACAGAUACAUUGAAAACAAGUCAACCAGAUACAGAGAAACUUUAUCAUAGAAAAACAUUCCAAUAACAUAAUUAAGUAGAUAGCUAUAUAACUUUAAUAUAUAUCAAAUAGAGCAAAUAAUCAAUUACAAGUAUUCAAAAGUUGACGUAUUCCCAAGAUUUUCAGGUAGCAUUCCAUUGAUGUUGCAAUUCCUCAGAACCCUAUGAAACAAUAAGAUAGACAACGAUAUAUUAUGAUUGCCUUUCUUGCUGAUUUUGUUUUGUUUUCUAUUUCUGAAAGAGACGGGAAUCAACUCACAGAUUUUUAAACGAUGUCAUACUAUUAAAUUGUGGCAAAGGUGCAUAUUCAGAUCCACUCAAAUCGCUAAUUCUCCUGAAUGUUACAUUUGAAUCAAAGGUAAGUAAACAUAAUUAAAGUAAAAGUAAAAGUUCAACCAUAAAUAUAAAAUGGCAUACAUACAAGUCAGUUAACUUCGUCAAAAGUGAAAUUCCAGAAGGAAUAGGCCCACUUAAUCCACUUCCUUGAAUCACUCUGCCAAGAACAAAGUAACCAUGGAUAAUUCUUUUGAGAAGUAAAUCAAUACAAAAACAAUCAAAUUUGAGUAUACAUAAAAAAUAAAGAAGAAAGUCCAUACAGUUUAUUAAUACUUGUCCAGUUUUGAAUAUAAUCGGGUAUCUUUCCAGAAAAUUGGUUGUCCCCAAUCCAGCUGCAUUGAGAGAGGGCAUGAGAAUAUAAAGCAUAAAAAAAAAUACUUUUUCAUUUAGUCAUCGAUAAACAUCACCAUUAAAUUUUAAGCUUACAAAUCUUCCAAUGUAGUGAGCUUAGCUAAUGUCGCAGGUAGUUCUCCAGUAAAAUUGUUAGAGGAAAAUCGCCUAUAUAUCAUUGAAAAACAAAACAGUAUCUUAUGAUUCUAAGUCAUGGAAAUCAAAGUGGAUUUAAUUUUUUAACUUUUAGCUUCCAUAUUUUAAGUGAGAACAUCAAUUGAGGGAAAAAAAAAUACUUACAGUCUUUGAAUCUGGGUUAGAUUUCCAAGCUCAGGAGGAAUAUUUCCAAACAUUUGAUUUUCCGAUAACUCACUAUCCAUUUCAAGUUAAAGUUAAGUUCUAAAAAACAUUUUGAAUUCAACACAUACAUGUUUGUAUACUUAGAAGAAAUGGAUAUUUUCUGCUAAGGUGGGUGAUGAGAAACUCACAAGGUUUGGAGAGUAGAUAAGUUUGCAAUCUCCACUGGUAUUGAGCCUGUUAAACGAUUUCCGGGCACAGCACUAUGACGAUUAAGAAACAUGUCUUCAUUAGCUUAUUGUGUUACAAAGUCUUGUAUAGAAUGUGAUAUAAGAACCAUAUGUCAAAGAUCGACAACGUAUAAUAUAUCGAACAAUCAAUGAUUAAAAACAAGAACAGAAAAAUGAGACAAAUCAUACAUUUUAAUAAUAUUCAUCAUGGAGCCCCAUUGUUUCGGAAUUGUACCAUUCAAGUAAUUGCGAGAGAGGUCGCUGUAAUAGAGGAAGAGAAAGUAAUUGCCAAGCAAAAUAAUAUAUAGAUGCAUGUGAUCUAGGAUAUAAAACAAGUUCAAUUAUAUUGUAAAUUUGGAUGUAAGGUACUGUUUAGGAAUUACAUACAUAGUUCGAAGGUAAUGCAACCUGGUAAAUUCUGGUGGGAGAGUCCCCGGGAGAUUUUGCCCUUUCAAAAUUCUGUAUGUAUAAUUUAUUACCAUUAAAAAGUUAAACAUAUGCAAAAAUAAGUAAUUAAUUCUAAUAUAUUCCUUAACCAAAAGAUUUUAGAGAAAAAAUUUCGACAAGCUCUUUUACUCUAGAGUCUUAAAAUUGAUUUCACAAUUUGUCAAACAUUUUUUCAGUAAAAAAUAAGGCUUAAUUACUCUUUUGGUCCCUUAACUAUUAAAAGUUUCGUUUUGGUCCCUUAACUUACUUUUUGGUUUCGUUUUGGUCCAUUAACUAUUAAAAGUUUCCUUUUGGUCCUUUAACUUACUUUUUGGUUUCGUUUUGGUCCAUUAACUCUUCCUCCGUCAACCACUUUGGUCAUUUAUAUUAGGAUGAAUGUAUUAGAGUUAAGGGACCAAAACGAAACUUUUAAUAGUUAAGGGACCAAAAGAAAAACCAAAAAUAAGUUAUGGGACCGAAACGAAACUUUUAAUAGUUAAGGAACCAAAACGAAACCAAAAAAUAACUUAAGGGACCAAACGAGUAAUUAAGCCUAAAAAUAAAUAUCUUUGACACAAUUGAUUUUACUUUCAAAUCUUUUUUGGUUUCGUUUUGGUCCCUUAACUCUUCCUCCGUCAACCACUUUGGUCCAUUAUGUUAGGAUGAAUAUAUUAUAGUUAAGAGACCAAAAUGAAACCAAAAAAUAAGUUAAGGGACCAAAACGAAACCAAAAAAUAAGUUAAGGGACCAAAACGAAACCAAAAAAUAAGUUAAGGGACUAAAACGAAACUUUUAAUAGUUAAGGGACCAAAAGAAAACCCAAAAAAAAGUUAUGGGACCAAAACGAAACUUUUAAUAGUUAAGGAACCAAAACGAAACCAAAAAAUAAGUUAAGGGACCAAAAGAGUAAUUAAGCCUAAAAAUUUCAUAGAUGUAUAAUAAUAACAAAUUUAAAUUUCAGGUGUUAACCGAUCCAACUAAAGAAUACACAAAUAUGCAAUGUAAAUUCUUGCAUAUAUAUGAAUUUAAUGACUUCAUUUAUACCGUAAAUGACGAAAAUAAAUACACGGAAAAUAGACUUACAUUUCAACAACAUGGCAGAAGUUGUCAUCAGCAACACUGCAGUUACAAAAAACAAUGUUCACUACGACUUGCAAUCUCUGAAUCCGAGGCGUAGGCGUGGCCCAGUUAGAAUUGUUGCUGCAUGGAUCAAUGCUGAAGUUCCAAUCCGUCUUACCAAGUGAUUUAGCUAUAUCUUCAAGAGCUUUCACUAAAUAUAAAAUUUAGAGCUAUCAGUUAAGUACUGAAAAAUAUUUUAAACUACACACACAUGUCAUCAAAUAUAUAUAAAUAGAUAUCAAAGAAACCUUGGAUAAAAAGAAAGAUGGAAAAGAAAGAUCAAAGAAAUUUAUUUGUUAUAUAUAUGAGUCAUAUAUAAAUAGAUAUCAUAUAAAUCUUCUAUACUUCACACUAGUGUGUGUGUAAUUAUUCAAAAUUUCUAAAGAAAUUAUGAGCAAAAGAUACAUGAUAUUUGCUAACAUGAAUCCUUAGAUAAAAAGAAUAGAAAAAAAAAUGAAAGAAGUUUCUUUAUUGUUUAGUAGCUAUAGCAGAAAUAGAUAUCAUACUUUCGUCGGGGUGAAUAGUAGUAGCUUCAAAACCUGGAAGAGAUAUGAACCAAAUGGCAAUGAGAGAAAGAAAGAAAAACUGAGAGGAAGUGUUCAUCUUAGAAUUAUUAACAAGGAAAAGAUAAGUUUAGAUAUAUCAAUAUUUUUGAAGGAAGAGAUUCUAAUAUAUAUUGUGUAUGUUGAAUUUUCAGAAACAAGAACAAGUCAACAAUGCAAGUAAACGCGUGUAUCAUUGUAAAUAAACAAUUUGGCCUCUGUGUGAAUAAAUUCUUACUUAAGCACUUAUAGCAUAAGCACAAUCAUGUAAGUAAUUAUGUAUAAGUUUUUUGCACAAUAAAGUAAACAAAAUUCAUAUAAGCUAUCCAUAAGUUGAGUUUAUAAACUCUCCCAAACUGUUUGACAAGUGUUUAUAGAAGUAAAUAAGCUCAAAUAAGUGAAUCAAGUAAAUUUAAGGAAUAUUUAAAAAUUGAUUGAUUUCAGAGAGUAAUAUGAGAGCAGCAACAGUUUAAUGAAGUAAAUUGAUGGAUACCCACCAAGAAACAAAAGAAAUUAAAGUCAAACAUAUAAGUGAAUGAUGUUUAAUUCUCAUUUAUGAUUCUACAGUGGGGAGACAUGUAUUUAAAGGGGAAAAUAUAUGGCAUAGAAAUAUUGAGAAGACUCAGAAAAUGUAUAUACAAGUCAAUAUUUAGACAAUUCUUCACCUACUAUAGAUGUAUCCCCCAUUCAGGAACUAUGACAAACAGAUAUAUGUCAUAUGCAAUUAUUUUUCAAAAUAUUUAAUUACUUUGAGUAAUUCCCUUAAAAAAAAUUACUUUGAGUAAUAAAAAUUUAAAAAUCCAAAAAUUCUACCAUCAGUUUCAACAUAAAUAAAGAGCAAAUGACAUUUUGGUAUGAGAAUGUGUCAAACACUGAAAUCAUAAAUAAGAUCAAAAAAGUCAAUAACACGAAUUAUGCGUGUUUCGGCGUCGGACACACGACAUGACACCAAAAUAUAUCAUUAGAUUGAAUAAGUAGUUUUCUCAAAUUAUUAUUAGUGUAUGUGUGUCAGUUUCCUGUGUAUGUUCCCGUAUUCAUGCUUCAAAACCGACGCGGUUGCCUUAGCCUUGACCAAGGGUGGCCGCCUCUCUCACUACCUCUCUCUCUCUCUCAACAUAUUUUUUCAAGUUUUUAAUUGAUAUAAUUCUCCCACCACAUUUUUAUGUUUUUAUUUUGGUCACAUUAAAAAGAGAGUUUAGUUGUUAUUGAGCAAACCGUACUGUUGGAGAUCGCUUCAGCCAUAUACCAACCUUAACUUUCAUACCUUUUGGCUAUAUAUUUUUAACCUUGCAAACAAAAUAAACCAUUGGUUUGAAAAUAUAUAUUAGAACAAUGAAUUUCAUUACACUAAAUGGUCCAAUUCAAUUUUCUCAGCUUGGGAGCAACAAAUAUGACUCCCUCAUUUGAAUCGAAAUUCAGAACAUGAUAACACAGCAUAAUGUAAACUUCUAACAAUAUACCCAUUAAGAAACUUUCCAAAUGCAAGUUCUUUAUUGAUUAAAACUCAUAUAAAUACCUAAAUUUAUGUCAAACCAACUGAUUUGUUGGAUACAUUUUAAAAUAGUUGGAUCUAUUUAAGUUUUAACCAAUUAUCAUGUGUUAGAAAGAGUUCAAUAGAGAGCACACACAAUAAAAAUGGUAUAGUACUCAGUUUUAAAGAUAUACAUCAUGGUUUCAACGCAAGACACAGUGGCAGGACUCAAGCCAGCAGAUGUCAUUACAUAUCAAUAAACGCGAUUAAUUUCGUUCCUCCCAAUAGGAAGAAUCAAGGUGGACGGGAUAAAGGUCUACAGCUGAUGAAGACGUAGCAGUCCAUGGCCCAUCAAUUGUUAAACUCUGACUUUCCGUUUGUGAAUUACUUGUAUUAUUUGCGUCAAUCUGAUAGUAAUACUGCCUCAUUACUUUCAUCUUCUUUUCAUCCAUUACUUCACUUGAAUCUGGCACAAAUUCUGGAACCACAUUUCUUCCUUCAAGCAUACUUACCACGGACGACAUAGAUGUCCUAAAGUUUGAAGUGACGUUGGUGCAUAGGAGAGCCACAUUCAUCAUCACCAUGGCUUCCUUUUUGUUGAAAUCUAAACCUAAUCUUCUAUCAACUAGCUCCAUUAGGUCACCUUUCUCUUUCAACAAUUGUGCCUGUUGAAACCAAGUCAUUUAUAAUUGGUACAUUCAAUAUCUAAAAAUUCUUCAAAUUAUGAAAUUGGGUCAUACUUCUGUUAAAUUACUUAAGAGCAAAAUGAUACCGCUUAUUAAUAUACUCCUUGAUAUUAUGAUUCUAGAAAAGGGAAGUAACUUAAAAUGUUAUGUACAAUUAUUCUUCUGGACAAGUAAAAAUUACAUAUUCUUCUGAUUCUCUUUGUUGUCCUAAUGAAAUGUAAUACUUAAACAAACAAAUUUUAAUUGUUGGUCAAGACGAGGAAAGGGGUGAUAAAGGGGAUACAUGACUUUAUUCACUUUUAGAUUUGAAUUAUUAGAUGAAAAAUGAAAAAUAUACACAAGGCACUGAACAAAGUGUAUGUAGACAGUAGCAUGCAUGGAUAAUCAAAUUAUUAGAUGAAAAAUAUACACUUUUUGAGAACAUCAUCAAAAAUUUACCCAAUCAAGAAGAUAGAAUGCUUCCUCCUUUGUCCGAUGAAUGGUGUUUCUCCUUCCGCUGACAAUUUCCAAGGCAACAAUUCCAAAACUAUAAACACCGUCCCUGACUGUCAAAUAACCAUGCAUUGCGUAUUCAGGAGCCAUAUAUCCACUACAUGGUUGGAACAUAUCAUUGAAAUAACUUUGAUAUAAGUAUACAAUAUGACAUCAACCUUUUAUAUUAUAAAAAUAUACAAUUUAAAUUGAAUUUAGUAACUUUUUGCAGUUAUUUAUAAUCAACUAGGAGAAGUCAAGAGUUAUAGUUUUCACUAAGUUCCGGCAAUUUUAGUACUAAUGUGAGUAUUGUCCUCCUCAUGAAGCUUGGCCAAACCAAUAUCAGAUAUCUUUGGGUUGAGAUCCCUAUUGAGUAAUACAUUGGUGGCCUUGAUGUCCCUGUGAACAACCUUCAGUCUUGAUUCUUCGUGGAGGUAUGCCAAACCUCUAGCAAUACCAACCUUUAUUUGUGAAUGUAAUAAGAUUCAGACAAUGAUAUAUAAAGUCAUGUGCUAAGUUUGAAUAUGUGAAAUAUUACAUUAAUAGCAACCUGAAUUAUAUCAUAUAGGAAAAAUUACCAAAUAAAGCACGAGCAAGGCUAUUGUUUUCCAAGUAUUCAUAUAUCAGCAACAAUUGAUCUCCCUCCACACAACAACCGUGGAGUCUAACAAGAUAAGGAUAUUGCAAAGCAUAAAUCAUUCCUAUCUCAUUUAAAAACUCACGGUUCCCUUGCUUUGAUUCAGCAGAAAGUUGCUUCACUGCUAUCAAUGUCCCAUUGGGUAAACAUCCCUGCAUUUUGAGGAAUGUUAUAUUCUGAAAAAUAUAUGUAAAGAUAUAGUAAAAGCAUGACACUCAAGAUACUUGGUUAUAUUAGUCAAAAAACCUUGUACACAGGACCAAAACCUCCUUCUCCAAUCUUAUUUGAGACAUCAAAGUUGUUUGUUGCUGCUUUGAUUUGUCUCAAUGUAAAUAAACCCGUUUGCAGGUCCAAACUCUUAAGCUCUGUUAAUUGAAGUAAAAGAAAGAACAAAGAUCUCUUAGACAAAUAAAAUUAAACACGGACAUUGUGCAUAUACAAUCCUUUUCAAGUAACAUUUCAACUUUCUUUUUAUCAUGACAAAACUAGUCUCAGGUUCCAUAGCACAUUAUACUGAUAAACAUACAUACUCAAACAUGCUCGGAUACACAACAUGAACAAGUUUAUUUUAAUCACUUAUGUAACACCCCUACUAGAAAUUUCCUAGGAUAUCUAGCAUGAGUGUUAAACUUGGCAAUGGAUACAUUAAAAUUACAACAAUAAAAAUUUUCUUUGAAUAGGAUACAGAAAAUUCUCGUCUUAUACCUUGGAAAUAACACUACUGGCGUGAACUUUGUAUGGUCCAUCAACUUCUGCUUCUUCAUCACGAACCAUGAUGUCGUAUAGUAACCUGAAUAUCUGAAAUAAAUAAAAGAGAUCGGGGUGAGACAUGAUGUUUCAGUGAGUUCCACCUAUCCUAGGUUGUAGGCAAUCUCAGGGAACCUAGGAUCGCCAUCUGUUCUAAUCUCAACCAUUUCAGGUUUAUACAGUCUUUAUCCUACAUAAUUGAACGAUCAGGGAUAACUAGGGUCACUACCUAGAAUACUAUCACGAUUCUAUCAUAAUGUCAUAUUCUUAUUCAUACACAUACUUAUAAUCAUAAUCAAAAUUCUGAACUUAAAGUUCAUGUCAUUAAUUAUAUAUUUCACUAUGUGCGUAUAGAUCAUAUUAUCUUUUUGUUGUAGCGACGGUAACAUUUUCACAUUUGUUACUAUGAGCCGUACCUCAUAGGCUACAUUAUCUCUUCGUUGUAGCAAACGGAGUUUUCACAUUUUUUACUAUGAGUCGUACCUCAUAGGCUACAUUAUCUCUUCGUUGUAGCAAACAGAGUUUUCAUAUAUUUUUUUACUAUGAGCAGUACCUCAUAGGCUACAUUAUCUCUUCGUUGUAGCAAACAGAGUUUUCACAUUUUUUUACUAUGAGCCAUACCUCAUAGGCUACAUUAUCUCUUCGUUGUAGCAAACGGAUUUUUCGCAUUUUUUUUUUCUCUGAGCAUGUUACUCAUUUCCAUUUUUUCUUUCAAAUAAUUUAUAUUAGUAUAUAUAUCAAUUGUCUUGCUUAGUGUUUUAAUGCUAGAACCAAUUCACGUGAUCAAUACUUUCACAACUUUCAUAUCAUAUACAAUUUCGUUCACAUUAUCAUGACUUUGCAUAACCAUUAAAACCUCGAUUGUAUUGAGUAAAAGUAAAUAGCACCAUUUCAAUGACAUGAUUCAAACUACCCAAAGGGAGAGUUAACUAACUAAGGAACUCACCUUGAAAUACUUUUGGAAAAACUUGCAAAGCAUCUGAUCAACAAUCUGCAGCUUUUGCGAUCUCCAAAACUCCAUAAUCACUUUUCCAAAACAACUUAUGCCCUAGCUUAUAGUUUCUACCCUUUUUGAAACAUCUCAACUCACUUGUGUUCCACUCUUACUUCAUCGACCAGCAUGUACAAAAAUUCUCAUUUCAGUCUCUGCACCAGAAGUUCACUGUUUGGCCACUUAAGCACUUUUGUCAUUAAUAAAACAGCUUAUCAUUUUACCGUUACUCAUAUACCAAUAUAAUAUACCUCCCCUAAGUUGGUCAUCACAAAACUAUACCUGAAACGGCUCAAAUUCCAACUUAAGCUUUUAUCCAAACAGCUUAAUUAAAACUUAUGGCUUCUAUCAAAUUAAGUUCGACCCAACCAUUAACACAACAAUUCCAAAAUGUAUAAUAAUCCCUAAGAAUCACUUUUACAGCAAAUUAAUCAACAGCUUAGUCAUUUAAGACAAAAUUCCCAUAACAGCUUAACUGACAGUUUAUGACCUCUAAACAAUUCCAUUUCAAUUCAAAUUUUCCAGAAUCAAAUAAAACAUGUAUACACAGCUCCUAAUCCAUUUCUACACCAAUCCUAACAAUAUUAAUUCCAAAAAUUAACUAUGAAAGCUUUUGGAACAACUUAUGACUUUUAGCCUCUAGCUUUUCUUUCCAAACAGCAACAACAAUACUAAGCUACUAACAGCCCUCACCUCAAUAUUCUUGCCAAGCCAAAACCCUAGCUCUUGUGUCUUGCAUUAAUCUUGCUCAAACUUGCCUCUAAUGCUCAAAACACAACAUAAAGCUUCAAAUUUUUGUACAUGAUUACCAACACACUUUAACCUCUUAAACCCAUGCUAUGAGUCUCUUGUAUGAACUUCUUAGGAAAGGAUAAGAGAAAGAUUGAGUUGUCUAAAGGUUCCAUUUCUACAAUAAUUCAAGAAAAACACUAAAACUUGAUGAUUACAUAAAGAAGUGAUGAUUUUUGGUGAACUAGGGAAGAAGAGGAAAAGGGACGUGAGGUAGGGAGAAGAAGAGGAAGAAAAAUAUCUGAUUUGGGUGAGAGAAUGGGGUAGAAAAGUGUGGAAACUUUAUUUUGGAUAUUUUGUCUUAUAUAUACCCCACUUAGGGGAAAUGACCAUUUUACCCCUUUUUGGUCUUCUUAACUUAAUUUAUCUGAUAAAAAAAAUACCGUCAAAACUUUAAGCGGCAUAUUUCAUUCCCCGUAAUCCGUUGUAAUCAUAUAAUUCGGUCAUGAAAAGUCUUACUUGCAAUUACUAUUUUGCUCUUCACUUGAAAGUUCCGAGGAUAAAAUAACUUGUAUCGAUAUCUGACUGAAUCUCACAUGCGGGAUAUUACAACUUAGAUAAUUGAUAUGUUAGAAAAAAGAUUGAUGAUAACGGCUAAAAAAUAAAUUAAUUUGCAUGCACCUCUUUCUAAUGAGUUUUUCUUUCCAAAACAUUCUUUCCACCAAAGUAUACCGAAUAUUAAAAUAAUAACAAUCGUUGCUGCAACCAAUAAUCCAACCACAGUUCCUGCAGAUAUAUAUGCUUGCAGGUGAAGAGUCUGCUUGAUUGUUUUACAAGACAUUUAAAAUAUUAGAUCAUAACAUAGAGAUCAUAGCAUAAGAUUAGGGAUGUACAACGCAUAACCCACCGGAUUUUACUGAUAUAGCUGAUAUAAGAGGACCAUAUACUGAUCUAUUUGGGGGAUAGUGUCCUUUUUCCAGCCCAAUGUAAGCGGAUCUCCAAGGUAUUACUAGUAACAACAACAUCUUUGAACUGUUUAAUGACUUUCUUACCAACUCCUCCAGCUGCUUCUGCAAUAUUAAAGUCCUUCUGCACUUGCAUUCCCUGCAACAUUUCAAUCAGAACCUUAAUGCUUCAUGAAUAUGACGACCUAUCAUUAUUUUAAUCUUUAUCCUUCAUUGAGUUUUAGAAAUUUUAGAAACCAUGUCAAACAAUGUUGUUAUAGGAAACUAGUGAUCACUUUGCUAUUGAAAGAAAAAGAAAAUUGUACCUGAAUAUAAAUAUCAAAUACACGCCUUCCAAGACUACUAUAAGUUUGAUCGUCUGUGAACAUUAUUUCAGCAAAAUGUAAAUUUACUGUAUAGCUUCCAUUUGCAAGGCAAAACCCAUAAUAAGUCAAAGAAACGCGUUCAUUCGUGUACAAUUCAGCAUCCACCAUAGUAAGUUUAGAGAUACUUUGUGAGGAAUAAGUGUCUCCAAGUUGAUCACUAUCUAGGAAUCUACCAGUGCUGCUAAAUGCCCAAUUUUCUGUUGGACUGACAUCGGAUCGAGCUGGUCUAGAUGAGUCUGAAUCACCAUAAUAACUUUUUCCGUUGACUAUCACUUGCUUUCCACCACAAUUUAUAUAAAGGGUGUAUGAGGCUGGGUUAAGCAGAUCAUGUCAGCAACUUUGGAAAUAAUAAGGAAAUUAUAAAAACAAUAAAGAAAAAUAAUUUCCUUGAAAUUUUAUUUUCAUAAACUUGUUAUCUCUCUCUCUCUCUAGCUAUUUUUUUUUUCCCACUGCAGAUGAAGAUAAAAGGAGGGAAUCAUGGGCGGUUGCAUAACUCUAGUCAAACAAAAGUCAUGAUUUCAUUAAUGUAGUGUACCCAAAGUAAAAAAAUAAGCAUCGUUGUCUGUCGUCCCCUCUCCUGUUGUAUCUAUGUUUUUAUUUUUUUAUUUUUAUAAAUAAAGUAAAAACAUCGUGAAAUCUUAGCUAUCUAUAGGAAAGUAAGCAUGAAGAAACUCACGUUUAGGACAUUCAAAUCUCAAACAUGAAACUCCUCUCUGAGAGAAUCAUCAAAGGAAUAGAACAAGUGCAUGAUUAGUAAAAUCAGAUUCAUCACAUGCUAGUGAAAUGGAAAGGAUAUCUAAAUUCAAACUUCAAUGUCUUGUUUUAGUAUUUAUAACACCAAACUUACAUGUCAUUGUGUGCCGAUGAAAUAGAAAACAAGUUCCUGUGCCAUAUUGGAGAAGUUGGUGUCUCAGGAAGAAUCAUGUGACAAACAAAUGCAAGGAAUCUUGCACUUUUUGAUCUUGACAUAUAUGACUCCCUUGGCUAAUGCUGAAGUUAUUGUAUGAAAGAUCUCUACACCCAAGUUAUAUACUUUGAUUUAGAAUAUGAUAAUAAUUCGACAAUUAGAGACUUAACGGAAGAUUUGGUCUACUUAAUUACUACCCAUCAUUAACUAAACAUUAUGCAAGAAAACACUAUACAACUAAAAAUACAUUUUUUAAAUAACAAGAGGGGGAAAAAGGUGGGAAAAAAUGAAAAUUUCAGUUAGAAAGUAAAAAAGAAAUGAUAUGUUUCCAGUAUUUUUGGCGCAUAAAUGAAGUAAUAUUUUCAAUCCAAUGAAUCAUACAGGUAUCUGCCUAUGAAUCUGGAAUAGCUGCUUGCAGAUGCAAUCUCCAUGGGCGUUUGACUCUGCACAAAGGAGAUACAGCGUUAACAACACAAGCCUUGAAGACGAAGCUUAACAAUCUUUGGCCCCAAUUACAAAAUUGGAGUUUGAUUCCCCUUGGUAAGGGUUUCUUUGAGCUUAAUUUCAAUUCAAUUGACGAUAUGAAGCAGAUUUGGGCCAUUGGUGUUGUUAACCUAAAACCUGGAUUCAUGCGGUUCUAUCGUUGGACAAAGGAUUUCACGCCCAAAGGACAUAGCAUUCAUGCUUGCUCCAAGAUAAAUGCUGCUACCAAUGUUCAAGUUACUAAGAGUAAUAAUGUGAACCAAAGAGCUCAAUCAAAAGCUGAUUUGGCCAAUAAGAAAAGUGCUAAAUUUCCUGUCAAUACAGUUGAUGCUAUAACUGUUAAUGCACAAGUACACCCUCACAUUGCAGCAAUUGGUAAUAAGUCUGCUAAGGUAUCUUCUCAUGAUGACAUUCAGGAGGCCCCUUUUGUUUCAACUGAUGAUUUUGAGGAAGGUGAAGUAUCAGCUCCUGAAAGCAAUGAAAUUGCAGUCCUCAACACUGAACUUCAUGCUAAUGAUCAGAGCCAGAAUAUUGGAGACAUGAAUCUCACACUUCACAACUCAUUUGAAUUGCUUGAAAGUGGUUCUAAGCAUGUCAUAGGGGAGGCUAAGCCAAAUGAUGAGGAAUCUAUUCCCAUAUUACUGGAUAUGCAAAUUGAUAAAAAUCCAAUUGUGGAAGACAAUUCCCUAGGGAAGGAGAAAUUGACUCAUAACACAAACUUAGAGAAUCCUGGUAAUUUGGUAAAAAGGAACUCUAAAAUUGCUGCUUUGAGUCCAAAUCCUCUUUUGGGCCCUGUUAAUGGGAGGCAAUCUUUCCCCAUUACAAGUCCCUCUUCCCUAGCUCAGAGUAGUAACAUUGGGAGGAUGUCAUUCCCCAAUGCUAUUGCUGUGUCAUUUGGUAAGGCUAGGGAUCCUUUUUAUGAUACUACCAUCACAUUGCAGCCCAUCACUACCCCUAUCACCACUCAUGAUGAGAUAUUAGGACAAGAUAAGAAAAAGGUGCUUUUCACUGUUGGCCCUAAAAAUCUUUCUGCUGCAUGUUUGAAAGAUGGUAUGAAUUUGAGUAAGUUUUGGGAGGAUGAGGACAACGAUGCUACUGAUAGCAUAUUGGACCCUGAAACUGACUUCGAAGCUCAUAACAACUCUCAUUCCCCAGAUGCAUCUAAACAUCUAGUUUCACCACAUGAAACUGUGAAGAAGAGUAAAAGAGGCAGACAUCAGAAGCAAUACACUAGUAGUGAGCUCAUACAAACGCGUUCCAAAAAGGGUGUGAUCAAAAGCAAUCCCAAAUAUAUGUGAUUGUCUUGUUGAAAGUUCCAUAUCUUGCAGUUGUUGUUCUUAUUUGGGUUCAUCUUCUGCUAUUCUAGAUGGUUGCUGAAUCUAUCUUAGUGGGAUAGAUUGUAUUCUUUUAAUACUUGAUUUUUUUUUUUUAUACUACUAGUUUUGCUGCUGGACUGGUUUGCUUUCUUUGAUUAGUUGUUCCUGUUAGUGUCAUAGCUAGUCUUACGUGGUAGCCAUUGUUGGAUGUGGUCUUUGUACCUCCAUUGGAAGGGGUGUUCUUUUUGUUGUCUUAGUUUGGAUUGUUUGAUUGUAUGUGGUUCAGGCAGCUCCUGAGUUUUAUAUUCCAUUUUAAGCUUGAUCAAAAAAAAAAAAAAAAGUAGUAUUAGAAAGAUAGCUCACACGUCUGAAUUCUUUCCCCAAGCAGGAGGAACUUGUCCAGUGAGAAGGUUUCCGGUCAAGAAUCUAUCAUAAAAGAAUAUCAAGGUAUUAGUAUGCAAAGCUUCAUGUUUAGGUUGAGUUUAAUCCUCAGGAACCAAGUAGGAUUAUUUAACUAUCCAGCAUAAUGAAAGUUCAAACUAAACCUAUAGGCGUAAAGAAGCCAACAAAUGUGAUUAAAAGUAUACCACCAAAAGAAACUGGGCUAAGUAACUACGAUGAAUUUCAUACAUGAAAUUUGCAUUGCUCAUGUCAGCAUAGUUACUCGGGAUUGUUCCUCUUAAUCUGUUAAAGCUGAGGUCUCUGAAAAAGAUAUCAUAUCACAUUGAGAUUGAGUUAAAAUUCUAGGGGGAAAAUUUGUCAUAGAAAAAAAUUCCUGUAAUUUGGAAAACUCGACACAAAAAUGCCAAUGGUUGUAAAACAAGUUAAACUUAACAAAAGAAACUUUGAUGGUUAGCUAUAGUAAAAAAAAAUGUAGCAAGUAUGAAUAUUACAUGUGUUUUAAUGUUUUAAUAGUCACAAGAUUUUCAGGUAGUGUACCGUUGAUUGCAAUUUCUCAAAAUCCAGCGAAACAAUAAGAUAGAUAACGAUAUAAAUUAGUGUCUUUCUUGCUUUAUUUAUUUUUUCAUUUGCGUACAUACUGUUUUUGGUUCUUUAACUCUUUUAUUGGGUUAAAUUGGAUCUCUAAUUCUAUAAUUUGAACCAAGUUGCUCUUUUCAAUUGCAAGAUCUAAAAACCCUUUUUCUGACGUAAAGAAAAAUCCAUAUCUUUUUGGUGUAAAUGGAGGGUUUGUGGUUCUUAAAAAAAUACAUUAACUUGCACCUCAUAAAAAGUGAAUUACAUCAACUUGCUUAUGGGAUUGGAAUUUAGAACUUAGUAAGUUGGAAUUAGGAAUCACAUUAACUUGUAUUUAUAGCAAAUACACUAUAAAUACAGUAUUGAGAAGUCUGAUUAGACACACAAAAAUUACAUAAAUUUACAAGGUAUGUGUAGUGGUUAGUUCCUAGAGGAGGUGGGUAUUGUCAUGGUAGGCGUUUUUCAUCAUGCUCUUCCUCUCACAUGACCUUAACGUCUUUCCAGUUAUGCUAUAACCAGCUGGCCCGUUUCCGGUGCGACUCAACACUGUACGCCACCACCUGCCUACGUGUAAUACAAGAGCGAGCAAGACAGACAUUUCCCCGCCGCCUAACGCAUCAAAACUUUCUUUGUGUGGGAGACCCAAGAGCCUUCCACCCCCAGCCACCAGUGCCAGUCAUUUGGUAAAUUUUUAGCAACUAUCCUCUUUUAGCCACAUCUUCCAUUUUCAGUUUUACUAUUGUACCGAUCCCUUGCAAAACAUUGGUAGGUUCUGCCAAUUAUAUAUGCAGGAGGAAGAGAACGUAGAAAUAGUCGAACCAGUUCUACCAUUGGUAGGUUCUGCCAAUUAACCGUUAUGCCAAUUAACCGUUGCUCUUUUCCAUUGCAAGAUCUAAAACCCCUUUUUCUGGCACUGGGUUCUACCAUUGGUAGGUUCUGCCAAUUAACCGUUAUGCCAUAUUAAGGCGCAAAACCGAACCAAAACCAAUCAGUUGCAGCCAAAGUAGUGAAUGUUGCUGAUAUAUUGAGGCUUUUGACACUGAAUAAUUUUUCCUUUCGACUACAGAGUAUAAUGAAAACCUCAAGCUCAAGGCACAAAAUCAAACCCCCAAACCAGUUGCUUGUGUUGUUCAUACCAGUAAUCUUGUUUCCUUAGUGUCACAUUCCACUUCACUUGGACCUUAAAGCCUUUACUCUGGCGCCUUUGAUCAUAUAUUUGGUAACAAAUUGCUUUUCUCUCAUCUCACUUACAUGUAAACGCUCCCUAGUAUGACUUUGGCAAAUGGAGCACAAACCAAAUGUGAAGGCAUUAGUCGAACUAGUCUCUUACCCACACUUAAUUUGAACUCAGUACUUUACGAUUGGAAUUUCCAUUUAGUUUAAUAUCCAUAAGUAAACUCGCUCAUAUCCUACAUGACUUUAUUACCUUUGCACUUCAAAUGCUAAAUGAGAUGACUGCUUUGCACUCCAAUGGUACUUAUGGUACUUGGGAUUUGGCAGCGUUACCUGAUGGAAAAACCACAAUAGGUUGUCGUCGGGUCAAUACAGUUAAUGUAGGGCCUGAUGGAAAUAUUGACGCGUAAAAUCACGCCUUACGGAAAAAGGACACACACAGAUCUUUGGCCUUGAAUAUGGGGGCACUUUUUCUCCAGUUGCCAAGAUUGCAUCCAUUCACUUAUUUCUUGCCAUAUAGUCGAUAUUAAUCGAUGGCCUCUCCAUCAAUUAGACAUCAUAAAUUCCCUUUCAUGGUGAGUUAUAAGAGGAGGUGUGUAUAUGGCACAACCGUCUGGUUUUACUGUUAGUGGUUCCUCUCAGUUGGUCUCUCGGCUGCGUUUAUAUCUAUAUGGCUUUACACAAUCUCCAUGUGCUUGGUUUGGGAAAUUUAGCACUAUGUUCCAAGUGUAUGGCAUGAGCAGAUGUGAAACUGAUUAUUCUAUCUUCUGGAAUUCUUCAGCGACCACCUGCCUCUAUUUUCUUGUCUAUGUCAAUGACAUCAUUAUCAAAGGGUAAUGAUCAGGUUGCCCUUCAUCGGCUCAAACAAGAUUUAUAUCUUCACUUUCAAACUAAAUAUUUGGGGCCCCUAAAUAUUUACAGUGACAAGGCAUGAUGAUAUUACAUUUGUUGUCAGCUUAGUAAGCCAAUUUAUGUCAGCUUAGAAUAGGCCAAUUUCUGUCAGCUUAGAAAAUUUCUAAACUUCGGUGUUACGCUGUAGAAAUUUUCUGAAUCCUCCAUGUGAAGUCAUUAGAAUGUUUUGAUUCACAUUCUUAGGUAUAUCAUGAGUACAUUAGGUAGAGGAUUACUUUAUGAAGGCAGGGGUAACACUGAAGUUGUUGGCCACUUUGAUGCUGAUUGGACAGGUUCACCAUCAGAAUAGACGAUGUAACUUCUGGAUAUUCUGUCCUUGAUAGAGGUAGAUUGAUAUCAUCGCGGAGCAAGAAGCAAUACAUAGUUUCAACUUCGAGUGCAGAAUCAGAGUAUCUUGCUAUGGUAGCAACAUCUUGUGAACUUACAUGGCUAAGACAAUUACUCUAGGCUCUUGCAACUAAAGUUAAGAGAUAUCAAGGCAAUGAAACUAAUUUCUGAUAACCUGGCUGCACUUCAUAUUGCUUCCAAUCCAGUACUCCAUGAGAGAAGGAAGAACGUAGACAUUGACUGCCACUUUUUAAGAGACAAGGUUUGUUCACGAGAAAUUGUAAUUGAUUUUAUUUGUUCAACUAGCCGAUAUAUUUACUAAGUCUCUUAGAGGAUCUCGGGUUGAACCUAUUUGUAACAAGCUUGGUGCAUAUGAUAUGUAUGCUCCAUCUUGAGGGGGAGUGAUAAAAUUAAUCACAUAAAAAAUAUGUUCUUAUAAUUAGUUUCAAAGAAUUAGAAACUUGAUGAAUUGGAAUUAGGAAUUACAUUAACUUGUAUUUAAGCCUUUUAUUUACUGUUUCUUAAAGAGGUAGAGAAAUCAACUCGCAGUCUAUUUAACAAUGUCAUGUUGUUAAGUUGUGGCAAAGGUGCAUACUCAGAUCCAUUCAAAUCACUGAUUCUCCUGAAUAUCACAUUUGAUUUAAAGCUAAGUAAACAUAAUUAAAAUGAAAGUUAAACUCCAACCCUUGUUUCAUCAGUGUAUAAAAUAUCAUACAUACAAGUCAAUUAAGUUUCUCAAAAGUGAAAUUUCAGAAGGAAUCGGCCCAAUUAAUCCACUCCCUUGAAUGGUUCUGUCAAAAGUAAAGUUAUCAUUGGUAAUUAUUUUUACAAAGUCAAGCAAUUUGAAAAACAAUUAAAUUUGAAGAAAGAUGAACAUGAAAAAUUAAGGAGUACAUACAGUGUGUUGAUAUUUGUCCAGUUUUGAAUAAACUUAGGUAUCUUUCCAAGCAACUGGUUGUCUGAAAUUCGGCUGCAUUGAGAGAGGACAUGGAAAUUUGAAGCAUCAUAAAAUUUAUUUUUUUAUUUUCUAAUCAGUAAAUAUCAAAUUUGAUGCUUACAAAUCUCGCAAUGUAGUGACCUUGGACAAUGUUGUAGGUAGUUCUCUAGUAAAAUUGUUAGAGGACAUUUUCCUAUAUAUAAUUGAAAAACAAAACAGUAAAUUAUGAUUCUAAGCCAUAGAAAUCAAGCUGGUCUUUAAACACAGGGCUUUAAUAUAUAUGAAGGGAGAACAUCAAUCGGGGGAGUACUUACAGUGUUCGAUAAAGUUAAGUUCUACUAAAAUUAUUUGUAUUGAACAUAUACAUGUUUAUGGACUAGUGAAAUUAAUUAAUUUUUUCGCUAAGUAGGCUAAUGAGUAACUCACAAAUGCAUCAGAGUAGAUAUAUUUGCAAUCUCCGCUGGUACUGAACCCCGUUAAUCGAUUUCCAGAGAGAGUACUAUGAUGAUUAAGAAACAUUUUCUUAUUAGUUUAUUAUUCUAUGUAAUUACAACAGUUAAUUAAGGCAACGUCUUAUAAAGAGUGAAAAUAAGAAUAUUCAAUGAUUAAAAACCAAAAAGCAAAACAUAGCCUUAUUAUAUGAGUGCCGGAUUUGAAAUGAUGCAAUAUAUACAAGACUAUCAAGACAAGAUUAUAAGAAUAACGUGGGUACAUAAAUUUUGACACACAUUCAAAAUCAUCUAAUCAAAAUAAGAAGGACACUCUAACAGUAGAUUGUCGCAUUGAUGAUGAGAGAUAGAUUUAAAGGAGGAAACUGACAUAGAAAGACUCAGAAAAAGCAUAUAUAUAUAUAUAGAUGUAGAUGUAGACCCCAUUCCCAGCUAGGAAUUUUGAGAAACACACAAACGACAUAACAAAUUAUUGUUCAAAAACAGUAAACGUGUUAAUUAUGGUUUCUUUUACUCUGAAAUGUCUUCCGUAUAAUUAAUGUUCUUCGUAGAAGUUGUAUCUGUAUUCAAUAUGUGUAUUUUUUUUAGUGUAAACUCUAUUAAUUACGGCUAUUCAUCUCUUGAGUUUUUUGGGACAUGAAUGCGCAGCAAAUUUUUCUUCAGAGUUUUAAGUUGUGGUAUGUUUAAAGUUGGAUUCAAAUCAGACUUUACUUAAGAUAAGAGAGAUAUGUGUCGUCUUUAUAUAAACGCUCCUGCCUAUACUCAAUAUGUAUAUAUUUACAUUCCAAAUUUCAGCAAUUUUUUUUUUUGGCUAAAAUAUGGUUCUAGUCCCUGCAAAUAUGCAUCGUUUUAGUUUUAGUCCCUGUAAAAUAAAAAUUUCGUUUUUGGUCCCUGGAGGGACUAUUUUCAAAAACAAAAAAAUUUGCUGGGACCUUUUUAAAAAACAAAAUAUUGUGCAGGGACCAAAAACUACAAAAUGGGCCAGUCAUCAUGUGCCACGUAUGCAAAUCAUCACAAAAAUGGGGUCAGCGACUAUUUUAAAAAACAAAAAAUUUUGCAGGGACCAAAAACAAAAAUUUUAUUUUACAGGGACUAAAACUAAAACGAGGCAUAUUUGCAAGGACUAAAACUAUAUUUUAGCCUUUUUUUGGUCUAUUAAAGAGUUUUUUUCUUUUUUCUUUUUUCUGAAUCAAAAGUAAAGGAAGACAUCAGGAGAUAGCUUGACAUCCCAACUAUGUUGGAAGCCCAAGGCUACCCCAUCCUCUACCACCUUGCUUAAAAAAGAGAAAAUUGUACAAGAGGGGACCAAACCAAAACCCUCGGAAAAAACAUACUAUAAAAAUCCAAAAUACAAAGCAAGAGACCUAAGGAAAACGGAAACUAGGAAGUCCGUAUUUGACUCUAAAAGUUAUCUCUAAUAAAUGUGCGGAGAGAGUCUCACCAAAUAACAUCAGCCAAGUCGUAACCAUAAUUUGCUAACUUAUCCGCACAACAAUUUCCUUCGCGAAAAAUAUGAGAUGAAAUGAUGGAAAUGCCUCCAUGCGUACAAUUAUGUGUUGUUUUUGGAUUUCCAAAAUGUUGUAAUUGAAUUUCCAAAUUCUAUUAUCUACCGAAGUUGUUACUAGGUUGAGUCACGACCAGGUCGCUCUCUUUAAGACGUUUCAUGCCACUGCCCAAAAUUGUGCAAGGCAGACUAUCAACCACGCCACCUCCAGGAUAAAACAAGCCCAACUACAACUGUGCGAUUAACUACUGCACUUAGAAAACCGUUCGAGAAUUACACCCUCAAAUAUGGUACUAAGACCACUAUUUAAUACUGAAACCACUUUAAUAUGGUAUUGUUACCACUCUAUUAUGGUGUUGCCACCGUUCUACAACCACUCAAAUAUGGUGUUGUCACCAUUCUAACUUUAAUUUCUCCAAAACAUCAAUAUGGCACUACGACCACUCAAAUAUGGUGAUACCACCAUUUCUCCUCAAAUAGAAACAUAUUGAAAUACUUUUUAUAUAUACCAUUAAGAUCAUUCUUAAUUCUGACGGGACAUUGUUAUUCCAAAUAGGGACUAUGAUCUUAAAAGUACUUUUUAUUUCGAAGGGACAUAUAUUAUCGAAGGAACUAUGUUUUAAGACCAUUCUUAAUUCCGAAGGGACAUUGAACCGAAACAGGGACUAUGGUCUUAAGAACACUCUUAAUUUCGAAGGGACAAAAAAAGGAGAUGAAGAGAAGAAAGACUUGUCAACACAAGUCAAAAAAGGGAGAAGAGAGAAAGAGUUCCCGACAACUCAAUGAAACUCUUUGGUGUGAUUUUUGAACUAGGUGAGCUCUCCUUUUAUAGGGAGAGUUUGUAACUAAUUUGGAGAAACUUAAGAAUUAAGUAAACUUAAAAAUUAAGCAACCCAUAUUAGCUCAAGUAACAAACUAAUCGGAUAAGUUCAAAAAGAAACAAAUGUUGGAACAAAAUGUGUUUAACAUCAAACCUUAAGAGUUUUGAUGAUAACAAAGUAUUAAAAAUUGUCAAUUGGAUAUGCUAAUAUUUGUUCAAGCGUACAUGACUAUAGACAAAACUUGAUAUCUUAAAAAGGUCCUGGAAGAACAAUAAAGAGCAAAGGCAUCAACAAAAAGAGAAGCUUAACGCGCCUGAAGAAAACUGCUCCUGAAGUUAAAGCGCUCCUGAUGACGUCAUCAUAAGCAAGUUCAUCAUAAGCUAGUUCAUCAGAAGCAAGUUUAUCAGAAGCUGUGAAUCACCAGAAGCUGCAGUUCAUCAGGAGAUGCAACUUAAAGUUUCAAAAAGUUGUUCAACGGAUUCAAACUCGCCUAAAGAUUGCAGAAGACUAGAGAAGUGAAGCAACGACUAUUUUGGAGGGUUUUGAAAGCAUUGGAUGCUUGUUCUUCAAAGAGCGUUGACAAAGUAUGUUCGAACGAAGUGUACAACCACUACCUCCACUACUCUGUUUUGUCUCUGCUACAAGACAAGAAAAACAGCUAUGCCUGCAACAAUGUUCCUACACAUUGGGAACACGUUUGAAAUUGAUCCUUCAUAGGACAAUAACCAAAUCAGGCAAAGGAUCAUUAGUGAUUGAUCAAAAGUUUCAAACGACUCUAUUUUGAAUGUGCUGGCAAUUCAACGUCUCUCACACACUUCUAUUUAAAGGAGUUAAGACUCAGAGUUCCGAGAACAAUACCAAGAAUUAAAAGCGCCAAAACUCUGCUGAAAUUGUUUUGCAUUCAAGGUUCACUUAGAAUUUCUUAUCAAAGCUCAUAUCUUAGAAAUUCUAGACUCUUUAGAGUCUGUAUCUGAAUUGUAUUGUGAACACCACUGAUUGUAUAUCAAGUGUUCAAACUCAAACAUAAUCUUUGUAAUUCUGUUUUAAUUGAGAAGUCUCUUGCAGUUGUGCUUGAGCAAUAGAAGUCUCUUGAUUGUGUUUAGGAGCAUAGGAAGUCUCUUGCAGUUGUGAUUGAGCAUUUGAAGUCUCGUACUAAGUUUAGUAUUGAACAAUUGUAAUCAGAUAUUAUUUUUAGUGAACUUCUCUUGGAAGUGCAAGGGGGAUAGGACUGACUUCCCGUUUGUGGAAGGAACCUGUAUAAAUUGCUUUGUGUCUUUCUUUCUUCUCUCUCUCUCUCUCUCUGUUUUUAUCCGCUGCAAUUAGUUCUGAACAUCACUUAUGAAGUAAAACUUUAUCUGCUUCUAAACAGUGUUUUCAGAUAGGAGAAAAAGAAGAAAAAACAAACACAAUUCAACCCCCCUUCUUGUGUUUUUCUCACCUUCAACAAACCCACAAGAUUAGAUGAAACAAACUAAUGAAAGAAAGAUAAGAAAUUCAGUUGGAUUCUCAAUCUUAUCACAACAAACAUAACCUAAAAUUGUGAGAAGUGAUAUCCAUGAAUAAAGAAUAAUAAUAAUAAUAAUUUUCAUCAUUAUCAUGUAUUUAAAAUUAAAUACCACUAUUUAAACACUACUAACGUGUUUGUUCUAUUUUACGUGGGACCUCCACACUCUAUUUUUUCAAUUCACACAACACUAGAUCAAAGUUUAAUAACUUGGUGUUUAAUCUUCCAACCUUCCAAUUUCUUUCCAUCUUCACACCAAUGUUCCAACACAUGUUUCGAAGAGAAAAUGGAACUAACGAAGGGUUCCCGAAAGCCUGCAAAGCACUCCAGGAGUCCCCUCCACCCUAAGAUGCCGCCAAUGGUACUUAAUGGAAAAUUCCAGAGCCAACACAAAUCCAAAUAACUAGACCUCUCAAAAACCGAAUUUUGACCCAAGUUGCAAGAAAAACAACCCAAAAAAAUCCUCGAUAUUCAUGAAAAAUACUACCACAAGCAGCUAAGCCAUACAACUGAACCAACCUUAUUUACCUUAACAAAAGGCAAAGUGGGAGCUUUUCAAACGACAAUAAUAAUAGCAGCAACAAUGGUAUGAAUAGAGUAAACAACAGCCGAAAAUAUCAUGAAUUUGAGAACAGCAUGUAAGACCCGUAAUUUUGAUGCGACUAAAUUUAGGGCUUUGUAUUUGUUUUGAUGUUUUUUUUUUUGUUAAUAAAUGAGUUUAUGAAAUGUCUUGACGUUGUCGGAAUUCCAAAAUUUGUUUUCUAUUGAUUUUGAGAAAACAUGUUGGAAGUAUUUGUUGUUUAAAUUUUGAAUGGACCAAGAGCGUCAUGAAAAUUUAAACAAGAGUUUUACACAUUGCUCGUAUGGGUAGAUGAUCUCAUUAUAUUUCUCCAAAUUUUUGAAACAAGAUUUUUGUUGGAAAGUUAUUUUGAUUUCAAAACCAUUACUUGAAAUGAGAAACUCGUUGAGCAAUUUAACUACGUGAGAUCUAGAAUUGAUUCACAUAUGCCGUUUGCUACUCUGUGUGACUGAUUUUGACAUUCAGAAUGUUUGUUAGGCAUGAAAAUGUAAUAUCCCGCAUGUGAGAUUAAGUCACAUAUCGAUACAAGUUAUUUUAUCCUUGGAACUUUCAUGAUCGAAUUAUAUGAUUACAACGGAUUACGGAGAAUGAAAUAUGCCGCUUAAAGUUUUUACAGUAUUUUUUUUAUCAGAUAAAUUAAGUUAAGAAGACCUAGAAGGGGUAAAAUGGUCAUUUCCCAUAAGUGGGGUAUAUAUAAGACAAAAUAUCCAAAAAAGUUUCCACACUUUUCUACCACAUUCUCUCACCCAAAAUCAGAUUUUUCUUCCUCCUUCUCCUAACAUCACGCUAUCUCCCUCUUUCUCAUGCUAUCCACCAAAAAUCAGCACUUCACCAUGGAAUCAUCAUGCUUAUGUGUUUUGCUUGAGUUAUGGAAGAAGUAGAACCUCUAAACAACUUGUUCUCUCAUUCUUCCUCUCCUAAGAAGUUCAUUCAAGUGAUCCUAGCAUGGUUUGAAGAAGUUAGAGCUAAGAUGGUGAUCAUGUAAAGAGAAUUGAAGUUUGUGUUGUAUUUUGAGCUAGAGGCAAGCUUGAGCAAGAUUAAGGCAAGACACCAAGAGCUAGGGUUUGGCUUGGCAAGAAGAUAGAGGCAGGGGCUGAAUGUUGAAACUGAAUGUAAGUAUAAGUGAUUAAUAGCUUAAAUUGAGGUAAAAGUGAUUAUUUUGAGAAGAAAUUUAAGUUAUGUUGAUUCAUUAGAAGUAUAAGCUGUUAUUUCAUUUGGCAUUCUGUGAUGACUCUGUUUUUGGGCUGUUAGUAGUAUCAAUUUUGCUGUUGUUGCUGUUCGGAAUGAAAAGCUAGCAGUUAAAAGUCAUAAGUUGUUCCAAAAGCUAUCAGAAUUGAUUAUUGAGUUAAAACAAGUUAGAAUUUCAAUAUAAGUGUCUUAGGAGAUGUGUAAACAUGUUUGCUUUGAUUCUGGAAAAUUUGAAUUGAAAUGGAAUUGUUUAAAGGUCAUAAGCUGUCAGUUAAGCUGUUGAUUAAGUUGCUGUAACAGUGGUUCAUAGAGAUGAUUAUACAUGUUGGAACUGUUUUGUUGAAGGUUGGGUCGAAAUUGAUAUGACAAAAGUCAUAAGUUGCUAUUUAAUUCGUUUGGAUAAUAGCUUAAAUUAGAAUUUAAGUUGUUUCAGGUAUUAUCUUGUGAAGACCAGCUUAGGAGAGAUAUGUUGAAUUGGUAUAUGAGUAAUGGAAAUAUUAUAAGCUGUUCUAGUAAUGGUAAUUAAGCUGUUUUAGAAGUACUGAAUUCUGGUGCAGGGACUGAAAUGGGAAUUUUUCUAUAUGCUGAUCGAUGAAAUAGGAGUAUGUCACAAGUGGCACUACUACACAUAUGUGUUUUAGUAACAUUCAUCUUGCAACACUUGUUUAAUAGUUACUAAUAUAGAGAUUUUUCUUAACAUUUUUUAGUAAGUGUUACAUUAGUGUCACUCUUUUUCGGUGGUGUUUAUAUCAAAACACAUUCAUAUUCUACUGAAACAAAAAAAACAAAAAACAUUUCAACUCUUUUAACACACACUCUCUCUCUCUCUCUCUCGUCUUCGAGCUAACCAGAAGCAAACGUUCGAACAUGGCCUCAAAGCUAAAUGUGCGAUUACAAUCACAGGUGAAUUCACAAUUCUUCAAUUCCAAAUUCAAUUUCAUCUUCGAUUUCGAAAUUGAUUUUCAACUUCGAUUUCGUAUUUCAUUCAUCUUCGAUUUUAUUUGAAUUCGUCUUUGAUUCUGUAUACGAAUUCAUCUUUCUGUAUUCAAUUUCAUCUUCCAUUUCGUAUUUGAUUUCAUCUUCGAUUAUGUAUUUGUUUUCAUUUUUGGUUUUGCAUCUCCUUGCUUAUUUUUCUUUCACUUUGGUUUUACACGUUGAAAAGAUGGUUGAGAUGAAGUGUGAGUUUUGUAUUGUGUUGGUUUUUGUUUUGAUUUUGCUUUUGUUGUGCUUCAUGGUAGAAUGCUUGUUUUGUGUUUGAUAAAAUGCUGCAACCAAACUUUAUGACACAAUGCCUGUUUUCUGUUUGAUAAAAUGCUUCAAUCAACCUUUAUGGUACAGUGCUUAAUGUUUGUCUGAUAAAAUGCUUGAACCAAAUUUUAUUUACUUCUCUAAUCUCAGAAAUGUGAUUCUCCUGCAUCUAUGCUCUUAAAAAUGUUUUUCGAUUCUGCAAAAUGAACAGAAUUGUUUGUUCGGAAUGCGAUUAUGUGUAAAUUUUAGAUUCGAUCUUAACUAAAAUGUUGGAAACUUAGGAUUGAAGAAAUGGAUAUUAGUUCCUCAAUGAUACAGAAGUCGGUCUGUUUCCCGUCACGCACAACCAAACUAUUGCUGCUUUAGCUCCGACAGUGGGUGGCUAUCAGAGCUAUUAGAAACCUGUAAUAGUGCAAAAGUUCACUUGGCAAUGUAUGUGUUUAGUUGUUUGGCUGAUUUAUGUGUGUAUAAGCUUCCCAUUGCAUAGGAGAAAUGUAACUUUUCAUGUUUGAAGCAAUAUAAAAACUACAAGGAAUCUCCACCUUCAGAUUCAUAGGACAAAAGUUCACUACUGGAUGUAGUUGUUGAAAUUUUAUUAACUUUGAUCUUUAUGGUUCCUCACCACUAGAAAUUUUGGUGUUAGGUUAUCAUGACGAUCUGUAUCAUACCUAACGAACACGUGGACCUGUAGCAAAUAUAUGAGGCAUAUUUGGGUUAUUCUGUAUUACAAAAUGCCAAAAGCUUGUACAAAACUUGCAAAAAGAAAUAAAGAAAAGUCAAAUAUCUUCCCAUUAUUACUAUUUUUUUUUUUUUGUCUAAAUCUGUUAUGUCUUUUGUAGGUUCCAUGUUAAUAAGAUGUCUUCAGCCCAUGUUUAUGCCGGGCUGCUCAUAGGUCACUAUCGAUGACAUGAGUGAAGGUUUAUUGGAAGAUUGUGCUAAACUUGUCAAAGAAAAUUCAAUUCAAGGUAAAAUAUCGCGAUUAAUUAUUCCUAGAUUAGGAUACUGCUACUAGAGUUAUUGUCGAGGGUCUGUGGCCGGAUCAGACAAUUGUUUUCUAUCAGCAAUGUAACAUGUGGUUUACAUUUCAAGAGAUUUAUUUGAUCAAUUGUUGUUUCUCAGGAGUACAAAGGAAACAAAUAAAUAUAAAAUAAUUUGAGAGAGGUGCUAUAUGUCACGAAUACACUUCCUCACUAAUUUCACAAACUCUCUAUUUUUCUAUUUUUUAUUUUUAUACCUGAAAAUAUUUUGAAAAAUAGAACUGCUAGGGCGUAGUAUGUAUCGAUCAUCACGCAACCUCAGCUGCAUAUAUUAAAGAUCCUUAGUGUGUGUCUGCCAAAAAAUAUCACAGUUCAUGAAAACUUGGAUCCAAUGCUAUGAAGUUUGAAUUGUGAAUUUAUAAUGUUUUUUGUUUUCAGAUUUACUUCUAUGAGAAAUUACUUUUGUUUUCUUUCUGAACGUAAUUGUAUAUAUGCUCAUCAUGUUAUGUGAGCAUGACAAAUGAAUAAGUUAUUAAGCUAUUGAUUGUGGAGUGCAUUGCAUUGCUUGUCGUCGCUUUGCCAUGACUUAUAUUACUUGAACAAAUUCUUAUGUCCUACUUAUUGAAGUUCUCUUUGGUAGCAUGGGUUUUGCAUAUUUGUUGCAUACUUUUCUUUGUAGUUACUUUUCUGAAUAUAUAAAAUCAAUAAAAUCUCUGUAAAACAUCUUUAUUUAUCUGUUUUAGUAUUUUUCCCUCAUCUUUAUUUAUAUGCUGCAUUGUGGUUGUAAUGCAUUUGUUUUUCUUCUGAUAUACUGGUUUUGAUUUUGAAGUCCACCGAUGUUUGAACUAUGUUGAAUACAUUGAUUAAGAGUAUAUUUAGAACUAAUUAAGGAAGAAGUUAUAUGAGCGAUUGAGCCUUAUUCUUACAACCCUGUAGGUUUAGUUUCCCUUAGAAAGUUAUUUAUUUUGGUAGGUUAGCUGAAUGGAGGAGUUAAUACUACAAUUAACCGUGUACAAAUAUUUUGUGGUUUAUUUUAGGUUUAGUUUUUAAUAAGAUAUUAAGCAGCGGACGGAAUAAUUUCCUCAUGAGUAUAUCUUCCCCACAGAGCAAAGCAUAGCACAUCAAGAGAAAAAAAGGCAGGGACAAGGUAAAAUUUGCUAGGUCAAUAACAAAAUGGUUUNCUCAAUGAAACUCUUUGGUGUGAUUUUUGAACUAGGUGAGCUCUCCUUUUAUAGGGAGAGUUUGUAACUAAUUUGGAGAAACUUAAGAAUUAAGUAAACUUAAAAAUUAAGCAACCCAUAUUAGCUCAAGUAACAAACUAAUCGGAUAAGUUCAAAAAGAAACAAAUGUUGGAACAAAAUGUGUUUAACAUCAAACCUUAAGAGUUUUGAUGAUAACAAAGUAUUAAAAAUUGUCAAUUGGAUAUGCUAAUAUUUGUUCAAGCGUACAUGACUAUAGACAAAACUUGAUAUCUUAAAAAGGUCCUGGAAGAACAAUAAAGAGCAAAGGCAUCAACAAAAAGAGAAGCUUAACGCGCCUGAAGAAAACUGCUCCUGAAGUUAAAGCGCUCCUGAUGACGUCAUCAUAAGCAAGUUCAUCAUAAGCUAGUUCAUCAGAAGCAAGUUUAUCAGAAGCUGUGAAUCACCAGAAGCUGCAGUUCAUCAGGAGAUGCAACUUAAAGUUUCAAAAAGUUGUUCAACGGAUUCAAACUCGCCUAAAGAUUGCAGAAGACUAGAGAAGUGAAGCAACGACUAUUUUGGAGGGUUUUGAAAGCAUUGGAUGCUUGUUCUUCAAAGAGCGUUGACAAAGUAUGUUCGAACGAAGUGUACAACCACUACCUCCACUACUCUGUUUUGUCUCUGCUACAAGACAAGAAAAACAGCUAUGCCUGCAACAAUGUUCCUACACAUUGGGAACACGUUUGAAAUUGAUCCUUCAUAGGACAAUAACCAAAUCAGGCAAAGGAUCAUUAGUGAUUGAUCAAAAGUUUCAAACGACUCUAUUUUGAAUGUGCUGGCAAUUCAACGUCUCUCACACACUUCUAUUUAAAGGAGUUAAGACUCAGAGUUCCGAGAACAAUACCAAGAAUUAAAAGCGCCAAAACUCUGCUGAAAUUGUUUUGCAUUCAAGGUUCACUUAGAAUUUCUUAUCAAAGCUCAUAUCUUAGAAAUUCUAGACUCUUUAGAGUCUGUAUCUGAAUUGUAUUGUGAACACCACUGAUUGUAUAUCAAGUGUUCAAACUCAAACAUAAUCUUUGUAAUUCUGUUUUAAUUGAGAAGUCUCUUGCAGUUGUGCUUGAGCAAUAGAAGUCUCUUGAUUGUGUUUAGGAGCAUAGGAAGUCUCUUGCAGUUGUGAUUGAGCAUUUGAAGUCUCGUACUAAGUUUAGUAUUGAACAAUUGUAAUCAGAUAUUAUUUUUAGUGAACUUCUCUUGGAAGUGCAAGGGGGAUAGGACUGACUUCCCGUUUGUGGAAGGAACCUGUAUAAAUUGCUUUGUGUCUUUCUUUCUUCUCUCUCUCUCUCUCUCUGUUUUUAUCCGCUGCAAUUAGUUCUGAACAUCACUUAUGAAGUAAAACUUUAUCUGCUUCUAAACAGUGUUUUCAGAUAGGAGAAAAAGAAGAAAAAACAAACACAAUUCAACCCCCCUUCUUGUGUUUUUCUCACCUUCAACAAACCCACAAGAUUAGAUGAAACAAACUAAUGAAAGAAAGAUAAGAAAUUCAGUUGGAUUCUCAAUCUUAUCACAACAAACAUAACCUAAAAUUGUGAGAAGUGAUAUCCAUGAAUAAAGAAUAAUAAUAAUAAUAAUUUUCAUCAUUAUCAUGUAUUUAAAAUUAAAUACCACUAUUUAAACACUACUAACGUGUUUGUUCUAUUUUACGUGGGACCUCCACACUCUAUUUUUUCAAUUCACACAACACUAGAUCAAAGUUUAAUAACUUGGUGUUUAAUCUUCCAACCUUCCAAUUUCUUUCCAUCUUCACACCAAUGUUCCAACACAUGUUUCGAAGAGAAAAUGGAACUAACGAAGGGUUCCCGAAAGCCUGCAAAGCACUCCAGGAGUCCCCUCCACCCUAAGAUGCCGCCAAUGGUACUUAAUGGAAAAUUCCAGAGCCAACACAAAUCCAAAUAACUAGACCUCUCAAAAACCGAAUUUUGACCCAAGUUGCAAGAAAAACAACCCAAAAAAAUCCUCGAUAUUCAUGAAAAAUACUACCACAAGCAGCUAAGCCAUACAACUGAACCAACCUUAUUUACCUUAACAAAAGGCAAAGUGGGAGCUUUUCAAACGACAAUAAUAAUAGCAGCAACAAUGGUAUGAAUAGAGUAAACAACAGCCGAAAAUAUCAUGAAUUUGAGAACAGCAUGUAAGACCCGUAAUUUUGAUGCGACUAAAUUUAGGGCUUUGUAUUUGUUUUGAUGUUUUUUUUUUUGUUAAUAAAUGAGUUUAUGAAAUGUCUUGACGUUGUCGGAAUUCCAAAAUUUGUUUUCUAUUGAUUUUGAGAAAACAUGUUGGAAGUAUUUGUUGUUUAAAUUUUGAAUGGACCAAGAGCGUCAUGAAAAUUUAAACAAGAGUUUUACACAUUGCUCGUAUGGGUAGAUGAUCUCAUUAUAUUUCUCCAAAUUUUUGAAACAAGAUUUUUGUUGGAAAGUUAUUUUGAUUUCAAAACCAUUACUUGAAAUGAGAAACUCGUUGAGCAAUUUAACUACGUGAGAUCUAGAAUUGAUUCACAUAUGCCGUUUGCUACUCUGUGUGACUGAUUUUGACAUUCAGAAUGUUUGUUAGGCAUGAAAAUGUAAUAUCCCGCAUGUGAGAUUAAGUCACAUAUCGAUACAAGUUAUUUUAUCCUUGGAACUUUCAUGAUCGAAUUAUAUGAUUACAACGGAUUACGGAGAAUGAAAUAUGCCGCUUAAAGUUUUUACAGUAUUUUUUUUAUCAGAUAAAUUAAGUUAAGAAGACCUAGAAGGGGUAAAAUGGUCAUUUCCCAUAAGUGGGGUAUAUAUAAGACAAAAUAUCCAAAAAAGUUUCCACACUUUUCUACCACAUUCUCUCACCCAAAAUCAGAUUUUUCUUCCUCCUUCUCCUAACAUCACGCUAUCUCCCUCUUUCUCAUGCUAUCCACCAAAAAUCAGCACUUCACCAUGGAAUCAUCAUGCUUAUGUGUUUUGCUUGAGUUAUGGAAGAAGUAGAACCUCUAAACAACUUGUUCUCUCAUUCUUCCUCUCCUAAGAAGUUCAUUCAAGUGAUCCUAGCAUGGUUUGAAGAAGUUAGAGCUAAGAUGGUGAUCAUGUAAAGAGAAUUGAAGUUUGUGUUGUAUUUUGAGCUAGAGGCAAGCUUGAGCAAGAUUAAGGCAAGACACCAAGAGCUAGGGUUUGGCUUGGCAAGAAGAUAGAGGCAGGGGCUGAAUGUUGAAACUGAAUGUAAGUAUAAGUGAUUAAUAGCUUAAAUUGAGGUAAAAGUGAUUAUUUUGAGAAGAAAUUUAAGUUAUGUUGAUUCAUUAGAAGUAUAAGCUGUUAUUUCAUUUGGCAUUCUGUGAUGACUCUGUUUUUGGGCUGUUAGUAGUAUCAAUUUUGCUGUUGUUGCUGUUCGGAAUGAAAAGCUAGCAGUUAAAAGUCAUAAGUUGUUCCAAAAGCUAUCAGAAUUGAUUAUUGAGUUAAAACAAGUUAGAAUUUCAAUAUAAGUGUCUUAGGAGAUGUGUAAACAUGUUUGCUUUGAUUCUGGAAAAUUUGAAUUGAAAUGGAAUUGUUUAAAGGUCAUAAGCUGUCAGUUAAGCUGUUGAUUAAGUUGCUGUAACAGUGGUUCAUAGAGAUGAUUAUACAUGUUGGAACUGUUUUGUUGAAGGUUGGGUCGAAAUUGAUAUGACAAAAGUCAUAAGUUGCUAUUUAAUUCGUUUGGAUAAUAGCUUAAAUUAGAAUUUAAGUUGUUUCAGGUAUUAUCUUGUGAAGACCAGCUUAGGAGAGAUAUGUUGAAUUGGUAUAUGAGUAAUGGAAAUAUUAUAAGCUGUUCUAGUAAUGGUAAUUAAGCUGUUUUAGAAGUACUGAAUUCUGGUGCAGGGACUGAAAUGGGAAUUUUUCUAUAUGCUGAUCGAUGAAAUAGGAGUAUGUCACAAGUGGCACUACUACACAUAUGUGUUUUAGUAACAUUCAUCUUGCAACACUUGUUUAAUAGUUACUAAUAUAGAGAUUUUUCUUAACAUUUUUUAGUAAGUGUUACAUUAGUGUCACUCUUUUUCGGUGGUGUUUAUAUCAAAACACAUUCAUAUUCUACUGAAACAAAAAAAACAAAAAACAUUUCAACUCUUUUAACACACACACACACUCUCUCUCUCUCUCUCUCUCGUCUUCGAGCUAACCAGAAGCAAACGUUCGAACAUGGCCGCAAAGCUAAAUGUGCGAUUACAAUCACAGGUGAAUUCACAAUUCUUCAAUUCCGAAUUCAAUUUCAUCUUCGAUUUCGAAAUUGAUUUUCAACUUCGAUUUCGUAUUUCAUUCAUCUUCGAUUUUAUUUGAUUUCGUCUUUGAUUCUGUAUACGAAUUCAUCUUUCUGUAUUCAAUUUCAUCUUCCAUUUCGUAUUUGAUUUCAUCUUCGAUUAUGUAUUUGUUUUCAUUUUUGGUUUCGCAUCUCCUUGCUUAUUUUUCUUUCACUUUGGUUUUACACGUUGAAAAGAUGGUUGAGAUGAAGUGUGAGUUUUGUAUUGUGUUGGUUUUUGUUUUGAUUUUGCUUUUGUUGUGCUUCAUGGUAGAAUGCUUGUUUUGUGUUUGAUAAAAUGCUGCAACCAAACUUUAUGACACAAUGCCUGUUUUCUGUUUGAUAAAAUGCUUCAAUCAACCUUUUAUGGUACAGUGCUUAAUGUUUGUCUGAUAAAAUGCUUGAACCAAAUUUUAUUUACUUCUCUAAUCUCAGAAAUGUGAUUCUCCUGCAUCUAUGCUCUUAAAAAUGUUUUUCGAUUCUGCAAAAUGAACAGAAUUGUUUGUUCGGAAUGCGAUUAUGUGUAAAUUUUAGAUUCGAUCUUAACUAAAAUGUUGGAAACUUAGGAUUGAAGAAAUGGAUAUUAGUUCCUCAAUGAUACAGAAGUCGGUCUGUUUCCCGUCACGCACAACCAAACUAUUGCUGCUUUAGCUCCGACUGUGGGUGGCUAUCAGAGCUAUUAGAAACCUGUAAUAGUGCAAAAGUUCACUUGGCAAUGUAUGUGUUUAGUUGUUUGGCUGAUUUAUGUGUGUAUAAGCUUCCCAUUGCAUAGGAGAAAUGUAACUUUUCAUGUUUGAAGCAAUAUAAAAACUACAAGGAAUCUCCACCUUCAGAUUCAUAGGACAAAAGUUCACUACUGGAUGUAGUUGUUGAAAUUUUAUUAACUUUGAUCUUUAUGGUUCCUCACCACUAGAAAUUUUGGUGUUAGGUUAUCAUGACGAUCUGUAUCAUACCUAACGAACACGUGGACCUGUAGCAAAUAUAUGAGGCAUAUUUGGGUUAUUCUGUAUUACAAACUGCCAAAAGCUUGUACAAAACUUGCAAAAAGAAAUAAAGAAAAGUCAAAUAUCUUCCCAUUAUUACUAUUUUUUUUUUUUUGUCUAAAUCUGUUAUGUCUUUUGUAGGUUCCAUGUUAAUAAGAUGUCUUCAGCCCAUGUUUAUGCCGGGCUGCUCAUAGGUCACUAUCGAUGACAUGAGUGAAGGUUUAUUGGAAGAUUGUGCUCAACUUGUCAAAGAAAAUUCAAUUCAAGGUAAAAUAUCGCGAUUAAUUAUUCCUAGUUUAGGAUACUGCUACUAGAGUUAUUGUCGAGGGUCUGUGGCCGGAUCAGACAAUUGUUUUCUAUCAGCAAUGUAACAUGUGGUUUACAUUUCAAGAGAUUUAUUUGAUCAAUUGUUGUUUCUCAGGAGUACAAAGGAAACAAAUAAAUAUAAAAUAAUUUGAGAGAGGUGCUAUAUGUCACGAAUACACUUCCUCACUAAUUUCACAAACUCUCUAUUUUUCUAUUUUUUAUUUUUAUACCUGAAAAUAUUUUGAAAAAUAGAACUGCUAGGGCGUAGUAUGUAUCGAUCAUCACGCAACCUCAGCUGCAUAUAUUAAAGAUCCUUAGUGUGUGUCUGCCAAAAAAUAUCACAGUUCAUGAAAACUUGGAUCCAAUGCUAUGAAGUUUGAAUUGUGAAUUUAUAAUGUUUUUUGUUUUCAGAUUUACUUCUAUGAGAAAUUACUUUUGUUUUCUUUCUGAACGUAAUUGUAUAUAUGCUCAUCAUGUUAUGUGUGCAUGACAAAUGAAUAAGUUAUUAAGCUAUUGAUUGUGGAGUGCAUUGCAUUGCUUGUCGUCGCUUUGCCAUGACUUAUAUUACUUGAACAAAUUCUUAUGUCCUACUUAUUGAAGUUCUCUUUGGUAGCAUGGGUUUUGCAUAUUUGUUGCAUACUUUUCUUUGUAGUUACUUUUCUGAAUAUAUAAAAUCAAUAAAAUCUCUGUAAAACAUCUUUAUUUAUCUGUUUUAGUAUUUUUCCCUCAUCUUUAUUUAUAUGCUGCAUUGUGGUUGUAAUGCAUUUGUUUUUCUUCUGAUAUACUGGUUUUGAUUUUGAAGUCCACCGAUGUUUGAACUAUGUUGAAUACAUUGAUUAAGAGUAUAUUUAGAACUAAUUAAGGAAGAAGUUAUAUGAGCGAUUGAGCCUUAUUCUUACAACCCUGUAGGUUUAGUUUCCCUUAGAAAGUUAUUUAUUUUGGUAGGUUAGCUGAAUGGAGGAGUUAAUACUACAGUUAACCGUGUACAAAUAUUUUGUGGUUUAUUUUAGGUUUAGUUUUUAAUAAGAUAUUAAGCAGCGGACGGAAUAAUUUCCUCAUGAGUAUAUCUUCCCCACAGAGCAAAGCAUAGCACAUCAAGAGAAAAAAAGGCAGGGACAAGGUAAAAUUUGCUAGGUCAAUAACAAAAUGGUUUAAAGGGGACCUUAAUGGAGCACAAGAAUCUGCAAUUGGCUGCCGUUGUUAAGCUUUCAUUUGGUUAUCUCUACUUUGACAAUGAUUUCUUCACGUUUCCUUGUCUUUUUUGUGGAUUUAGUUUUCUCGUUCCUUUCUGACUCCCUGUGUUCGUAACUGGGGUUUUUUGUUGUGAAAUUUUCUCAGCUCUUGUUACAGCGGAUAUGAUAUACUGUGAUUUUAAAGCUGCAGCUAACCUUAAUAUUACGAACAUGCGGACCCUUGGAUUUUACGGUUCAUUUUCUUGCCUUGAAUGCACUUGUUCUGGAAAAUAGGUGUCCUUUGGCAUUGUAAUGUGUCAUUGUUUAGAAUUAUUAAACUAAAUAUUAGGAGAGCUUCAACAAUAUUUAUGAUUCUGUCCAUCUUUCUUGGAUAAUCAAGAGAUACACUUCUGUUUUGCAGAGGGCUAAAGUUUGGAUAUCUACAACGUUUGGAGAUACACUACUAUUCCAGAUAUAUCAAAGUCGUUCUUUACUUUUUAAGUUUUGGGCUUUGUUCUUAAGACAUGCUGCAGAUUGGAUUGUGAAUCUAUUUUUCUGUUCAAUAUUUCUGUUGAUUAUGAGUAUUUCUUGAUUUCUUAUUUUCCUGUUUGGUGCUCCAAGAGAGGUGAUCUAUUAAUGUUGAGUAUUCCUUCUGGUUAGUUUUGUCUCUUGAUGUUGUGGUUUGAUUUAGUUCUUGCUGGUGUUGGUCUUAGUGGUUGCUGUACUUAUUUUAAUGAUCAUCACAAAUAAUGAAUUGUUAGUUAAUUGUCAUUCUGAUUCUUGUCUGCAAAAUAUAGAAUUCUUCAGUUGUGGUUCAUUAUUAUUUUUAUUUUUAGGAUUUGUUUGCAAAACACUAGAAUUGAAAUGUUAUUCAUGUGACACCUUAAGAUUAGUGGCCACUAGCUAGGAAGACAUCCUCCACUGAAUCUAUGACCACCACCAAGUUCCUUUAAAUGUGUUCCCAGUGCCAUAUAUACUUUUCUAUCACUGUACAAUGUCUGAAUUGAUAUAUGAUUUGAAUUAUAAGAUUAUCUUUAUUAGAGUUAAACUCCUAUCAUGCUCAGAUACAAAAGCUCGUGUAAUUUGGGGAGUUUAUUCUAAUUGAGUUCUGUCUCCACUAUCUAUGAAGUCUUUGUUGAAUGCAAAUUCCCCUGCUGUUGUUUAUUCUAAUUGAAUUGUGAAUUCUAAGAUUAUCUCUAUUAGCUAUUACACUUGUUUUUCUUAGUAUCCUUGUUGAGCAUGGUAUCAACGUUGCAGCUUGGUAAGUUUCAAUUGAUAAUGAUUUUCAUGACAGAAUCGUCCUUUGCAUUAAAAUUGUUGCACAAUACUGGUGAUGAGAUAAGGAAGGGAUGUCUGCAAUCUUGCUGGCAGAACAUUAUGAAGAUGAUUGCGGAUAAGCAACGGCACAAGACAAAGGAGAUUAAAGAGAAGGCUUGCAUUUCUCAUGUGCAGCUUGAUGACCUUAAAGAGAAGGGGGGAAAUUGUGUUGGAUGAAAACUUAAUUGUAAUCAUUUUUGUAUGUAAUUCAAAUUGUGUUGUAUAGUUCAAAUUGUGUUGCAUAGUUUAUUUUCGUCAUGCAAGAAUAAGAACAGAGAAGAGGGGAACUUUUAUAGAGUAUGUAAUUCAAACUAGUUAUUAAAACUUGUAUCUAAUAUUGGUUAAUUCAAAUAUGAAUGAAGUCUAAACUUGUAUCUAAAAUUAGUUUAGACAAUUUUGCGACAUUUUUUACAACUCCUCAAAAAUUAUAAAUGUAACACUUUUUUAUUGUUACAAGUGAUACAAAAAGUGUUACAAUAAGGUACCAUUUGCAACACUUUUUGAUUGUUACAGAUAGUACUAUAAAAUGUAACUAAAACACUUUAGUAACACGGGCUUUAUCUAACAAUUGUUCAAGUGUUGCUAAAUUUAAUUAGUAACAUUUUUCUUGAUUUAGUUACAAUUUUCAAGUGUUACUAAUUGCCAUUAGAAGUACUGAAUUCUGGUGCAGGGACUGAAAUGGGAAUUUUUCUAUAUGCUGAUCGAUGAAAUAGGAGCAUGUCACAAGUGGGUUGGGCUGUUUCGGAAAAGGCAAGACCUACAAGUCAAGGCAUAAGCUAUUUUGGAAAAGCGAUUAUAGAGUUUUGGAGAUAGCAGAAGUUGGAGAUUUUGGAUAAGUUGCUUUGCAAUUUUUGGGAGUAAUUCAAGGUGAGUUCCUUAGUUAGUUAACUCUCCCUUUGGGUAGUUUGAAUCAUGUCAUUGAAAUGGUGCUAUUUCCUUUUACUCAAUACAAUUGAGGUUUUAAUGGUUAUGCAAAUUCAUGAUAAUGUGAAUGAAAUUGUAUAUGAUAUGAAUGUUAUGAAAGUAUUUGUAACACCCCGUUUUCCCAACGUAAAAAUUUCAUUUAAUUAAUCAGAGUAUUCACAUUAACGGAAUAUCACGUUCUUUUCUUAAAAUCAUAAACUGAAUAAAUAACUAUUUAUCCUUUAAAAUUCAAUAACAAAAUCUUUAAUAUUUCGCAGCGGAGUUUAUUCAGUAACUAAAAACAGUAUUUGGCACUAAGGCCUCUUUAUAAAUGUUCUCAUAAAAAUCAAAUCUAAAAACAUAGUCAUAAAUCUUCAGAAUCAAUACGUAAGGAAUAGAAAAGUAAUAACAAAGUCCUCAUCCCGUUACGUAUCAGAGCACCUAAGACACUUGAGCCACCACUCCUACUAAUCAUUAAUACCUGCAAGUUACUCAUACGAAGAGCAACAUUUCCAAGCAGAAGGGGUGAGAUUUCACAAAACAAUAAUAUCAAGCAUAUAAUUCAAUAAUUAUAUUUAACAACAUAAAUAACUUCAUCUAUUAGUAAUAAUAAUUCUUCAUGUAAUAAUUCUUAAUAGUUCAAUCAUCUUCUAAUUAUCAUUUACUUCAUAUUCAUCAUAUAACACAUAUUAACCAAAUCGUAACAAACAUAGAUCAUCACAUCAUAGUCAUAGUUCAUAUAUAGUAUAACAACAUCUUAAUCCUAAUUCAUAUACAACAUAACAACAUCAUUAAUUCAUAAUAAUAAUUAUUCAUCAAACAUCUCUUUAUCAAUUCAUGAAUAAAAGACAGCUUAUCAACUUAACAUAUACAUCAUCAAGUACACCUAACAACUCAUAGAUAUCUUCAUGUAAUCAUCAUCACUAAUAACUUUAAAACAACACAAUGUAAUCAAUAUCUCACUAUAAUAAUAAUCAUAUACGACACAACAUAAUUAUCGCUUAAUAAUAAUAAUCAUAUACAAUACAACAUAAAUCAUCAUCUCAUAAUGAUAUGAACAACACAUAUUAAUCAUCUUAUAUUAAUAUAACAACAUAUACAUCGUCUUGUCAUAAUAUAAUAAUAUAACAACAACAUAUUCAUCUUCUUGUAUUAAUAUAACAAUAACGUAUUCAUCAUCUUAUAAAAUAUAACAACAACAUAACAUAAUAUUCACUUAAUAAUAAUUAAUCAUAUAUGGUACAACAUAAUCAUCACUUAAUAAUGACAAUUAUAUACAUCACAACAUAUAGCAUCAUAAAUACAUCACAUAAUCAACAUCGUAAACAUCAUCAUAACAUUAUAAUCAGUAUCAUAUACAAUAUCAUAACAACAUAACAAUAUCAUAAUCAAUAUCUUAAACAACAUAGCAACAUCUUAGUCAACUUUAUAUAGUUCACAUCAUAAACAUCGUAUAAUCUUCAUAGGUACUUCUUUAACAACACAUGGGUAGAAGACAACUCGACAACUCAUAGAUGAUAAUUCAUCACAACUUAACAACUCAUGGAUGAUAAUUCAUCAACAACGACUUUGACUCGACAAAUGCGACAAUGCAACUUAGACACUUAUAUGCAUGUGGUACCAAUCGUCAUCAUAAGUAUUAAUAUACUUUAAUCGUGCGGAGGACAAAGCUUCUAAUCGUGCGGAGGACAAAGCUUCUAAUCAUGGUGAGGACAAAGCUCAAUGAAUGCUAAUGCAUGGACUCUAUCAACAAGACGCCUUAAUCAACUUAUCACUUAUACAUCCAAUAAUUUGGAGUUCAUCAUCAACUUAUUCAUACUCAUGCAACUUAGUUAAAUAAUAAUUGCAGCAUAAUCAAAUCACAUCAAGCUUAAUAACAAUUCAUUUCAACAACAUCUUGAUCAUUCAAUAAUAUUUCGAGUAAUGCAUUUAAUCAUGAAAUCACAUUACAAACAACUUAGCAGUUCAUAACAGCAACAGAAACAGCACAAGUAAUUCACAACAUAACAAUAUUAGUGUGAAGCAUUAACAACUUAAACAUCAUACAUCUUCCACAUAAGGCAUAUAAAUAUUUCACAUAACCAACAACAGCAACAUAGGCGACACGUAAACAUCUCAAGAUAUAACAAUAUCAAAUGAUAAUCAACAACAACUUAAACAUCAUAUAUAAUUCACAUAAUGCAUAUACAAAUAUAUUACAUUACUAUCAACACUAAUUCAUAUUAUAAUAGCUUCACAAAUCAUCAAUAAUAUUAUAUUCAACCCACAUUCCUACCCCAACACUAAAUCAUAUUAUUAUACUCUUAAACACCUUAAUUGAACUCAUAGAACUUCUAGUUUUGAGGGUUGGUAUUAUCCUAUAAGUUUUGGAUUAACUUAGAAAUGGUUAUGCUGAAUUUUCAUAAGAUUUCACUGUGACCUACGUGCAGUAAUUUGACCAUAACUCAAGUUCUAUAAAUCGUUUUGACGUCAAUACCAGUUUCGUGUUUACAACUUUCGUGUUUACACCUAAGAUCAAUUCUGUACCAAUCAAUACCAGUUUUCAUUUCAAAUUCGGACAAAGUUGUGCUGAAAUUCAUAAAAAUUUACUAAGACCUCCUUGGAGUAUUUUCAUCAUAUCUCAAACACCAAAAAUCAUUUUCAUGUCAAACCAAAGCCACUGAAAAGCUAACACAAUUAUCUACAACUUUUAUGUUUACACCAAAGGCCAAUUCAAAACAGAAACGUGUGAAAAAAACGCAAGAAUGCGGAACAGAGAAUGCUGUCAAAGUGUAGCUCGCGAGGCGAGUAAGUGUACUCGCUGUGGCGAGUUGCGACGGACAAAUCUACGGGAACAGACCAGUUUUCACUCCAAAAGCCCCAAUUUCAUCAACCCAAAUACCAAAUUUGAUAGGAAACUCAACCUAUGUUUAUUCUAUAGCCUGAACUUCAAUUCUUAACACAAUUUCGAUGGUUUCUACACUUUUCAAUUCAAAAAUCAAUAAUCAAAACCUAAUCCCAAUUAUACAACCUAAGAACAACAACAUGUUAAAUCACAAAUUCAAAAUCAUAGGCUUAAGAAGAUUGAAUGUUAGUCUCACCCUUACCUUAAAGAAUGAAAAUCGCAGCCUCUAGGUCUUCUCCCUCUUCUCUUGGCUUUUUCCUCCUUUUUUCAAAAACAGUCGUACGUGCAAUUGUUUUUCUAAAACUAGGUUUUCUGUCCUUUUUAUAAAAAUCUUAACCUACUUAUUUUUCUCUUAAAUCCCAAUCUUAAUAUUCUAUCCCAAUAUAUAUAUAUAUAUAUAUAUAUAUAUAUAUAUAUAUAUAUAUAUAUUUUCCAUAACAAAUCAUUUAUACUUCUAUAACAAAUGACAUAUAUUUCUAUAACAAAUCAUAUAUAUUUCUAUAACAAAUCAUAUAUAUUUCUACAACAAAUAACAUUUAUAUUUCUAAAUCAAAUAAUAUAUAUAUAUAUAUAUAUAUAUAUAUAUAUUUCUAAAUCAAAUAGUAUAUAUAUUAUACUAAUAAAUACCAACAUAUAACAUAUCAAAAUAUCACUCAUCAAAAUAAAUCAUAUAAAUCACACAAAUCAUAUAAGUAUAUUCUAAACUCAUUAAAAUAAUCAAAUAAUUAGAGAGGGCGUGACAGUAUUGAUCAUGUGAAUUGGUUCUAGCAAUAAAACACUAAGCAAGACAAUUGAUUUAUAUACUUAUAUAAAUUAUUUGAAAGAAAAAUUGAAAUGCGUAACAUGCUCAUAGUAAAAAAUGUGAAAACUCUGUUUGCUACAACGAAGAGAUAAUGUAGCCUAUGAGGUACGACUCAUAGUAACAAAUGUGAAAAUCCGUUUUCUACAACGAAGAGAUAAUGUAGCCUAUAGUAACAAAUGUGAAAACUCCGUUUGCUACAACGAAGAGAUAAUGUAGCCUAUAAGGUACGACUCAUAGUAAAAAAUGUGAAAACUCCGUUUGCUACAACGAAGAGAUAAUGUAGCAUAUGAGAUACGGCUCAUAGUAAAAAAUGUGAAAACUCCGUUUGCUACAACGAAGAGAUAAUGUAGCCUAUGAGGUACGGCUCAUGUAACAAGAAAAAAAAUAUUGUUCGCCACAACGAAGAGAUAUAUGCACAUAGUAAAAUGUUUAAUUAAUGACUUGAACUUUUAGUUAAGAAUUGUGAUUAUGAUCAAUAUGAGUAUGUGUAUAAAUAAGAAUAUGACAUUAUGACAAAAUCAUGAUAGUAUUCUUCGUAGCGAUCUUAGUUAUCCGCGAUCGCUCAGUUAUGUAUGAUAAAGACUGUAUAAACCCGAAAUGGGUUGUGUUUAGAACAUAUGGCGAUCCUAGGUUCUCUGAGAUUGCCUACAACCUAGGAUAGGUGGAACUCACUGAGACAUCCUGUCUCACCCCAAUCCUUUUUACUUAUUUCAGAUAUUCAAGUUACUAGAUGACACAAUGGUUCGUGAUGAAGAAGCAGAAGUCGCUGGACCAUAUAAAGUUCACGUCAGUGGUAUUAUUUCAGAGUUAUAAGACGAGAACUUCCAUAUCUUAUUCAGAGGAAGUUUUGAUUAUUCUAAUUUUAAUGUAUCCAAUGCCAACUUUAACACAAAUGCUAGAUAAAUCCUAGGUAAUUUCUAGUAGGGGUGUUACAGUAAACAUGGAAUAUGUUUUUGUGACUUGCAUGAUUUUGUGCUUUCUUAAUCUUGUUGAACCUUUUUGUGAGGUUUGGACUUUCGGGUAGAAUCAAUUAUAUUAAUGAAUCUUGAGAGUCAUUAUAUUCAUUCAGGGAAUUUAUAUUCCGUCGAGAUGAUUUUUGGGAAUUUAAUAAUAUUAGACCGGCGACUUGAGUAAAUCUUAGAAAAAGAAAAUAUUAGAGAUGACUAGUGGUUUUUGAAUAAGGAGACAAUUCUAAGAUGUUUGGGACCGAUUAGAAGUCCAUCUGAGUUAGAUAGAACUUUAUCAGUUAUGUGUACCUUAAAACCGUGAAAUACGAUUUCAGUUUAUUUCCAAAAUCAAAACACUAUAUAUAGUAAGUUUGUGGUCCAAAACUCAUUAAUCAACAAAUUUACUCUAUUCUCUAUCCAAACCCGUAAGCCACCCUCCCUCCUCCAUCUUCAUCUUGUUUUGGAUGUAACUUCUUCGUUCCUUAUCCGAAUCGCGCAAACGAGAUAUCAAAACGAAGCUAGUGACGAAUCCUACGGUCCGAUACAUGAUUCACUGUGAUUUGAUGAGGUAUUCCUCUCCUUUUUCAUUUUUUUAAACUCGGUUUUGGGUAUUUUUGGAUAUUGGAUGUUGAGUUUUGAUUUUCUUGCGUGAUGUUAUGCAUUAAUGUUGUUCGGUAAGUCCGAAUGAAUAUACUCCCUCCGUCCCAUAAUAACUGAGCCAUUUGCAAAAAAAUAUUGUCCUAGAAAAAUUGACCCAUUUCAAUUUUCAAUACAAUAUUAAUUACUUUUUUCCAAUUAUAACACUAAUUAAUACUACUUUCACCAUUCCUAAUUCAAUAUAUUCUACUAUGCAUUUAUGAUAAAAAAGAAUGCACCAAUAGUUGAUAAGGGCACUCAAACCCAUUUUUCUCUCUCUUUUGCGGAGGGAGUAUAUCCACAAAAAUAUUUAUGAUUCGACUAUUUUUAAAUUUUAGCAUUAUUGGAAAAGUGUCUAAAUGUGAAUUUUAUUUGAUAUUUAUGAUAUAGACGAGUAAAUGAGUUGAUUCAACCUAUUUGUUUUCAAAAAAUGUUGUCCCGACGAAAGCGCUGAACCGUGUAGGGGCAUUUUUGUAAUUUUUGAAUUGUUGAAAUAUGAAAAUGAGUUGAGAAAUGGAUUUGCGUCGAUGAGACAGUCGAAAUGGAUAUAUGGUUUGCGACGUUUUGAGUAGGGAUGAAUUUAUUGUGAUUUUUUGAAAGUAGUUUAAAUUUGAGCUACCGCUGGAAGUGACUGUUGACACUUUCAAAAUUCAAAUUUUAAAUGUUUGAAUUGGUGAGUUGUGAAAAUAUUUUUUUCUGUGAAUUUAUGUUAGGUUGGCCGAGUCAAAGGCUCUAGUAUACGAUGUAAACACAAAGGAGACUGUUGAAAAUUCGUCAGAAUCAUUUUCUUAGUUUUGGGGUGAUUUUGAAAAGAUGUUUCAAAACGGAAAACAAGUUGGGAUUCAUUUGGAAAUGAAAAAUAUUUUAUGAACAAUUUUGAUCUCUUUAAGGUCUUUUGAUAGACAUAAAGUAUUUGAGAAAAAUGUUUUCAUGGGUGAUUUUAAGGAGAAAAGUUAUUUUAUUUAGUGUCUUCGAAGUAUUUGAGAAUAUUUUUGAAACAAAAUAUUUUUAGCGGUUGAAAUUUGGAAAGAAAAGUCUUUUCAUAAAGAGUUUCCUUCAAUAUACUUUUGUUAACUUUAGGUCAUGAGAUGACUUAAAUAAUUUCAAGGAUUUUGAGAUGAAUGUCGUAUUGAAAAAUAUAUUAUUUAAGUUUUUGAAAAUAUUGAAUUGAUCGUAUUUUCAAGCGUUGUUGAUAUUUCACCAAGAACGGGUAGAGAGUUUUAGAGCCGAUUUUUACCUAAGUUAUUGUAUCUAUUAGGAUACAUAGCUCGAGGGUUUAGAGAUGUUCUUGUUGUAGAUGCUUACGAGUUGGAGAGCUGUAUGUUUUAAGGAAUGUGUUGCUCAGGUAAGGGCAUUUUCUAGAAACUCCAUAGUUACUUAAAUGCUUGGAUGAUUUAUGUGCUAAUUUGUCUAUUGUGAAUAUGAUAUUUUGAGUGAAUGUGUCUGCUCAGUGUGGGAUCUGUAUGCCAUCAAUGUGAUUAUGAUAAGUUGAUGUGCAUCGCUUUCAUAUGAUUUAUGAGUAAAUAUAUGAAAUGCAUGUUGUUUUGUGAAAUGUUGUUUCGUAUGAAUUGAAAUAAAAUAUGUAAACUGCCAGUUGAGGCAUGUUAAAAAUAUGGAACUUCCAGUUGAGGCAUGUUAUUAUCAAUGCAUAUAUUAAAUGAUAUGUAAGAGUUACAUUUGCACAUAUUGAGUGGACAAUAUAUGCUCAUAGCACGUGUACGCACAAAUUUUAUAGUACGCGUUAGUCAGUUGCGACGCGCGGGGUGUGGACUGCCGUGAAGGAACCCACUUUAAAUCUAUGAGAUUUAUUGAGUCUUGGUUGCUCGACCAUUGUGGGGGGUUUAUCUCAGAUGUGUCUGAAUGGGGACCACAUGAUUUGCUCGACCAUUGUGGGGGGUUUUCCUCAGAUGUAUCCAUAUGAUAAUCAUGAAUUUCUUAGUAGGUUUUGCCUAUGACCAUCUGCAGAGUGGAUUAUUUCGGAAUCAUUUGCUAGGCUAAUUGUACAUCAUUAUAUUUUGUGUGAGGAAUGUUUAUGUUGAUACAAUUUACCAUUCUAGUUUGCUAUGCCUGCUGUAUUUUUGUAAUUAUGUUGUAGCAGUUUGACAGUCAGGCUUGAUGUCAUUGGUGGGUUCUUGUACCCUGUCAUCUAGUUCAGAGUUAAAUAGGAUCAGCUUAGUUGUAUUCAUGUAGAGUCCUUUGUGUAAUUUUUUUUAUACAUUUGUUGGGCAUCGUUGUAAAUGAUAUUACCUUGAGAAAUGAAUAAACGACCCCGGGGGUAAAUGAUAUUACCUUGAGAAAUGAUAUUACCUUUAAUGGGCAUCGUUGUAAAUGAUAUUACCUUGAGAAAUGAUAUUACCUUGUAGAGUCAUUUGUUGUGUAAUUUUUUUAUACAUUUUUUUACUCAGUGUAUAGUUUGAAAUUGAAAACUCAUUGCCUAUAACUAUUUUAUAAAAUAUGGCAUUGGAUUCAUAUUGUAUUGUGAAAAACGCUGUCAAAAAUACACCGAAAAACCAAGCCCAAAUUGAAACAGCAAAGGGGUGCUGCAAGAAGAGGCGAGAAGUAAGAACACAAAUAGAGACAACCACACGACCCCGGGGGUCGAAGAUUCUCAUCCGUAUGUAAUUUAUGGUCUAAAGCGCGCCAAAAAGUAAAGGAGGAAGAGGGUGGAAUGUAGUUCCGCCAAAUCAUGUCAGCCGAAGGAACAACCGUAGAGGGCGGAUUAAGAAAAUUAAAAACAAGCUUAGCCACUAAUAAACCAUCCGGAUAAUGUUUCCAGACCAGCUGAUCGCCAAGAGGAAUAAUAGGCGAAGAGAUAGCCUUAAUUCUAGACUUAAUAUCCGGUUGACAAGCAAAUUCAGGAGGAAGAUGCCAACAACCAUCCUUGAUCAAAGAAUUCAAAGUAUCGGAAAAAUGCUUCUCGAGAUUGGGAGGAAUAUCCAUAAAAUCUAUCAAAGGAACCCCAAGCCAACUAUCGUGCCAAAGAUUUAUAAAAUUACCGGCGGCAAUCAGCCUUAAACAAUUAUCAAUAACAAAGCCAAUUUUGGUUUUAAUGCCAGCCCAAACUGAGGACGGUAAAUGACGCUAAAUUGGUUGGCCAAAAGAAAAAUAGAGUUUCAUAAACAUUGCAAACCAUUGAGACUUUUCAGCCAUAAGCUUCCAACUAAGGUGCAAAAAGAGAGAAUCAUUAAUAGAACGGGUAGAUUUCAAGUUCAAACCACUCGCUUCCCAGGGAAGACAAACAGUUUUCCAAGCAACCGUACAAACUUUCUUAGUAUUAACAUCACCGCUCCAGAUAAAUUUUUUAAUCCAACGAUCCAAAGACUUAUGCAACAUCACCGGCCAUUGAUAGGCAGCAUGUAUGAGGUCUCUCAACAACUUGUUGACAUUGUUACUCAUGAUUCAUAAUGAGGUUCAACAAGUCAAGGAGUUGAAGGCUAGACGAGGCAAUUCUAGUGACAAUAUUGUCACCUCCAUCAAAUAAGGAAGUGAAGGGAACCCAAGUUAGACUAGCGUUUCUACUCAACCUACUUUAGUAGGAUCUUUACGAGUUCAGCCGAUACCUGUAUUACAAAUAGCUUCUACUUAUAAUUCUCAACCUACUACUUUUUUUACACCGAUAACCCUAGGGGACACCCAAUGGCUAAUGAUACAUACUACCAUGCUAAUCUUCAAGUUGAACAAAUUACAUAUGACAAGGAGAUCAACAUGCUAAUCAUCAGGUUGAACAAGUACAUACUAAGGCGAAUAACAAAUUAGCAUGUUUGGGACAUGGCAAAUCAAAAUUAAAAACAUCUAUACACGAACGAUAGCUUAGUAAUAGGCUUAUAAAAAAUAUACACAUUAACUAUACUACGACACUUUCUCAAUAUAUAGAUUGUGGUAGUACUCAGUUUUGAAAUACAUCAAGGUUUCAUCACAUGACAACAGUUGCAGGACAUCAAGCUUGUAGAUGCAAUUAUGUUUCAACAAACACUCUUAAUUUCUUUCCUCCCAAUAGGAAGAAUCACUUUGGAUAGGAUAAAGGUCUGCAGCUGAUGAAGGUGAAGCAGUCCAUCCAUCACUUAAUAAACUCUGACUUUGUGUUUGUGACUUGCUCAUCGUUUUGUCUUCGAUCUGAUAGUAAUACUGUCUCAUUUCUUCCAUCUUAUUGCCAUCCAUUACUUUACUUGAAUCUGGCACAAAUUCUGGAACCACGGUUCUUCCUUCAAGCAUACUUACAACUGACGACAUAGAGGGCCUAAGGUUUGAAGUGACAUUGGUGCAUAGGAGAGCCACAUUGAUCAUCACCAUGGCUUCCUUUUUGUUUAAAUCUAAACCUAAUCUUCCAUCAACUAGCUCCAUUAGGUCACCUUUCUCUUUCAACAUAUGUGCCUGUUGAAACAAAGAAUUGUUUUGUGAACCCUAAGUAAUUUACAAAUGAGAGGUGAUAUUUUGAUACACAAAUUUGACAUCAAAAUUCGACAACAAUU